UUUCUCUUCCUCACACAUCUCACUCACUCACUUGAUUCUCAACAACUAACAGUUUCCGAUUUCGUUGUAACCCUAAAAUUAGGCAAAACGGCGAAAUGGGAUAAGAGAGAGGAGGAGAAUAUGGCGUCGCAGAUUCUCCCAUUCUCAUACCUUCCGCCCCCUAAAUCUCCACCACUCGCGAAGCAAGCCAUGUACAAGCCUCUCCUCUCCCGCGCCUCCAGCUUCAACGGCUCCGCUCUCGCCACCAAUGGUGGUGGUGGCUUAACUGCUUGGUAUCACAACAAACGGCGACGUUCCAACAGCGAUAAUAACUGCCUCUCCGCGCUUCCCGAUCGUACUAACGGAACCGACGGCGGUGAUGAUAGCACUAUCGCUCAGGAUGUUAGCCACGCCGCUGCCGAGACCUUCUUGUUGACUCGUCUGUGCUUGAAGCUCCUGAGCUAUCUUGGGUAUCAUCUAUGACAGAAAAAAGAAAUGAUCUUUCUUUCUUUUGUUGUUGGGUUUGUAAGAUGAUUGAUCACUGAUUCGGAAACUGUUGUUCAGGGUAGGAUAUAGAUGGAUCACAAGGUUUAUGGCUCUUGGUUGCUAUGCUUUCUUGCUUAUGCCAGGCUUUCUUCAAGGUUCUUGUAGAUUUUUGUUUUUUAGUUUGGAUCUUGUUAAGUUCCAUUGCCUAAAGGUUCGGACUUUUACUUUGCAGUCGGAUAUUACUAUUUCUUCUCUCCUCACGUCCGUAGAAGUAUUGUUUACGGUGAUCAACCAAGAAACAGGUCAUUCUCCUGUACUGCUUGCUUAUCACUUCCACUAUGUAGAUUGUUUAUGUUUUUGCUUUCUUCAGGCUUGACUUGUAUCUACCUAAGAACUCCGAUGGUCCUAAACCUGUUGUGGCGUUUGUCACUGGUGGAGCCUGGAUUAUCGGGUGAGUUAUGGACACUCUUUUUAUGCUAUUGCGUUGAGGAAGAACCUGCAUUUGUCGUCUUACAGAAUUGUGUUUGAUACAGUUAUAAGGCGUGGGGUUCUCUUUUAGGACAGCAGUUAUCAGAAAGAGAUAUUAUUGUCGCAUGCAUCGAUUACAGGUUAUUAUUAUGUGUGCUUAAGGUUUUAUUUUCUGGCAACAAUGAAUGUGAUGGUGUCCUCUUAUCUUCCAUCACUUUCCAUUAUACCGUUUUUGUUUUGAUUCACAGUUUCUCCAUCUCACUGGUAGUAAAUUUUCUUAUACAGGAAUUUUCCUCAGGGAUCUAUUAGUGACAUGGUUAAAGAUGCUUCGUGUGGAAUCUCAUAUAUUUGUAACCAUAUUGCUGAGUAUGGUGGUGAUCCAAACCGGUAUCAAUCCUGUCAACACUUGUUGAACAUGGAAGCUCUCAGGUUUUAAAUUUUUUGUUCACUUAUUUCUGAUCUUUUUUUGUCGUGUAGAAUUUAUCUGAUGGGUCAGUCUGCUGGUGCACAUAUCGCUGCUUGCACCCUUGUAGAUCAGGUUGUUAAAGAGUCAGGGGAAGGGGACAGUGUUUCUUGGAGUAGUUCACAGAUAAAUGCUUAUUUUGGCCUCUCCGGAGGGUAAGCCUUUCUUCUGAUCCCAGAACAACAAUACAUUUGUAAAAUGGUGGUAGGUUACCGAAGCAAGUAGAUUCAUGUCUUCUAUCCAACUAAAGACUAAAAGAUUUUAAAAUAUCUGUUAGACUUCACUAUAAUAUGUUUGUCUUUCCUUUGAAAUCUCUGUGAUCAUGAUCUACAGGUACAACCUUCUGAGCCUUGUAGACCACUUCCAUAGCAGGGGACUCUAUCGAUCCAUCUUUCUGAGGUAUAGUAUCUAUUCUUGGCAUAGCUUAAGAUGAGCUGUAGAGCAGCCUGAAAUAUUAAAGGUUAACAUGUGACUUUUGCUUUCCGCAGCAUCAUGGAAGGAGAGGAAUCAUUAAGUCAGUUUUCUCCUGAACUAGUAGUGCAAAAUCCAAAUCUCAAACACAUUGUUGCUCGUCUCCCACCUAUUAUUCUUUUCCAUGGUACUGCUGACUACUCCAUCCCUUCAGAUGCAAGGUAUGGCUAAACUUCAAUAGCCUUGUGUGUACAUGUUUGUCUCAUGUAGUUCAGGUGGUUGAUAUGGUGAUUGAACUUCUGGUACGUUAUUUUGUUGGUAGUAAAUCUUUUGCGGAAACCCUCCAGAGACUUGGAGGGAAAGCAGAAGUGAUCCUUUACGAGGGGAAAACACACACGGAUUUGUUUCUUCAGGUGCAAAAUGGCAGGUCUUGAAUGUCUAGUCGUAUAAGAAAUUGAAUAGUUGAUCUAGAAACUUGGUUUAUAUAUGUUAGGAUCCAAUGAGAGGUGGAGUAGAUGAGAUGUUUGAAGAUAUAGUAUCAGUGGUCCUGGGAGGCGACUCAGAAGUGGUUGGUAAAAGCGUAGACAGAAGGCGUCUUGUGCCUGAAUUCAUGUUGAAGUUGGCUCACUGGGUCAGUCCGUUCUAACUUUCACUCUCUCUAUCUCCCAGUAGAGCAGAGCGAAGUAAAGUCCUUCUGUGUAUAGUACUUAACAAGGAGACCGAAGAACCAUUAUACUUGGAAGAUACGGAUGAUUUUGAACUCUGAACAUGAUGAUGAACUGUAUUCCAGUUUGCAAUACACGUUGAUUCUUUUGUCAUUCUCGGUUUGUGUAAUUGUAGAACAACAAAGAUCAGUGAAUAAAAAAAAGUCUUUAUUUAGUUAGUCUCAUUAAACUGUAUUGGUCUUCUCCUUUCUUCUGAGAGUUGUCAGUAUUGAACGGGAAGAUAAGCUCUUUACAAGAAAAGUCAAUACAAGAACACAAAAGGUUAUGUAUCAAAGCAGCAUGAAUAUUAAAAAAAAAAAAUGUAUGCUUCAUAAGAAAAAGGCUAAUCAGUGGCUUUGUGCGUCUUCGUGGUGUCGCUAAGCAUAAACGCAGUCGUUUUUACGGAACCAAUCAACACAGGCUCCGAGCGUAAAUUAUUCACAGGAACAGGGUUACAUUUGUAAAUACAGCCUACAGGCUAAUCAAUACGACGAACACGAGCCGCGCAAUUGGCUGUGAGAACAUCAUUGGUGAAUGACGGCGGGGCCCCCGUACUUAGACACGUGGCUUUCUACAAUUAGUUAGAAGAUGAAAGCUAGUGUUAGUAGACGAGGGUAUUAUGGUAAUAUAGAUAUUUUCUUGGAUAAUCAGAAAGAGAUGCUCUCGAUCUCAUCUCCCCAAAAUCAGAGUAAACCCUAAUUGUCUGUAGCUUUCUCUCUCGAAGGGGAUCUUUGCUUUGCCCUUUCUUGACUCUGGUUUAUUCCUUUCUCGUGAAUCUCUUCUCUCUCUCUCUCUCUCUGUUUGUGGAUUCGUCGAAGAGAGAGAUAUAGAUCCGGUAUGGCGACUGAUAACACGGGCGCGAAAUCGAGCUCCUCCUCGGCAGAUUCUUACGUAGGGAGCUUGAUUAGUUUGACUUCCAAGAGCGAGAUCAGAUACGAAGGCAUCCUUUACAACAUCAACACCGAUGAAUCCAGUAUCGGACUUCAAAACGGUACGAUUCCGUCUAAGGAUUGUUAGAUGUGUAGUGUAUAACUCUGAUUGGAUCUUCAUUAAUAAGUAGUGUUCAUGUCUUGAAACUGUUGCGGGAGCUUGAGUAAGCUUAGUAUGUACUGAUCCCUGUGAUGUCAACGUAUGUAGUCCGAUCAUUUGGAACUGAAGGAAGGAAAAAAGAUGGUCCUCAAGUUCCUCCAAGUGAGAAAGUUUAUGAGUACAUAUUGUUCCGUGGAACCGAUAUCAAGGUAUCCAACUUGAUUAUGCUUAAUGCUUUAUGUGAUUGGUGUUAUAAGCUUGCCCAUUUUGUGCAAUAAUUGUUCUUGUUGUUGCCAGGAUUUGCAAGUCAAAGCUUCUCCUCCAGCUCAGCCUACCUUAAACAAUGACCCUGCUAUCAUUCAGGUGAAUAUAAUGGAGAAGAUGUUGUAGAAUAAUCUUGCGCAGACGUGUCUUCAUCCUCCGAUUGUCCUUUUUUUUUUUUGCAGUCUCACUACCCUAGCCCGAUCCCAACAUCUAGUGUCUUGCCUCCCACCGUGAGCAAUUCAAUGCCUGACAUUAGUUCUCAUAAUGGACAACCUAGUCCUGGGCAGCAUGGGAUGGGAUUCCAAAACUCAAUGCCUUUGUAUCAGCCUGGCGGAAAUCUUGCUCCGUGGGGAGCCUCACCUCAACCACCAAUGUAUUGGCAAGGAUACUACACCCCACCUCCCAAUGGCCUUCCCCAGUUGCAUCAACAGUCUUUGAUUCGGCCUCCUCAUGGGCUGCCUAUCCCCGGUUCCCUGCCGCAACCCAUUCCGUAUCCUAACUUUAAUUCUCCUCAACCUACAGGGUCAUCAAAUUUGCAGGGCUCAAGCUUGCCGGAACCACCUUCGUCACUGUUUCCUUAUAGUAGCAGUUCUCAAGCUCUAGCACCCAGUUCUUUGCCUUUUACUGGUUUACCUAUGACGCUGUCUUCAGGCCAGCAAUCAACGUUGCAGUCAGCACCAUCUCCUUCCCUAGCUUCAGAGAUGGCACCUCCUUUGUUUUCGAACAAGGCUCCUAUUGCUGCACCUCCUACCCUACCUCAGGAUACUAGUUUGCUUCCCUUUUCUCCACCAACUACUAGAGCCACUGAUACAAGUGCUGGCUUUCCACUAGUUACUGAUCCUAUAUCUGUGCCACAGACAACACCAUUAGCAUCUGCUCCUGAUUCUGAAGUUUCUAGUUCCAUCAGCCAAGAUAAGCCAAAACCUUUGUUGGUUACUCCUGGCCAACUGUUGCAGUCUGGAUCUGCGUCAGUCUCUUUGUCCCCACACUCUAACAACGCUGGUAAAGAUGAUGAGUUGGUUCAAGUAUCAUCAUCAGCUGCGUUGGAACAAUCUGCUCCAGUUACAUCAGAAGCCCAACCCCCAAUACUGCCAUUGCCUUCCUCGGCAAGGCCAACUCAGAAGGUUUUGAACUUACACAAAUUUCCAAAUCUUUUUAUUUGCUUGUCAUCCCUUUAAACGAUAUUUGCUACUUCACUUACUGAUAUGAGAACGACCCUUGAAUUCUAGAGAAUUUUUUUGAGGAGGAAUGAACUUGAUAUGAUCUUCCAUUUGCUUGAAUAACCUGUAGCUGUUAUAUUUGUACCUGUGGUAAUGCCCAUCCUAAGCCUCUUUUUUCUUUGUUAAAGAGGCAUGAAAAGCUCUCUUGGUUCCUUCCUUGGUCUAUAUUAGAUUUCUUCUUGAAUUUCUACAUACAAGUCUUCAUUGUUUGAUGAUUAGUUGAUCUCGUUUGCUGAUUUUUUUUCUCAGCCAAACGGGCAUUCCUUCCCAACCCAUAAUGGUUACAGGGGACGUGUGAGAGGAAGGGGAAGAGGAGCAGGGGUAAUAUUCUUCUCUCAUUUUUAGAAUGUGUCGAGGCAUUUAAUUGUUUUUGCUAACAUCUACUAGUUAAAGUAUGCUCAUGAAUCAUAGCCAAGUAUGCUCAUAAUCCUCCUUGUUGGCAGCGAUCACACCAGGUAAUGAAGUUCACUGAAGAUUUUGACUUCACGGCGAUGAAUGAAAAGUUCAAUAAGGAUGAAGUAUGGGGUCAUCUUGGGAAGAGCACCAAUGGUGAUGGUGAUGAUGAUUUCCCAAUCGUAGAUGAACCUGAGCUGCCUAAGGUCGAGGUCAAAGUAAGUCAAGUAAACUUAUAAUAAAGUAAAACCGCCAUGUUCCAUCGCCCUCUCUGGUCUCAUAUGCCUUAAUUGUUUUAUUGAUGUAGCCUGUUUACAACAAAGACGACUUUUUCGAUAGCCUAUCAUCAAACUCCGGCAACCGAGAUUCCCAAAAUGCAAGGCCUAGGUUCUCAGAGCUACGUAAACUAGAUACUGAGGUACAAUCUAUAGUAUAUUUCUUCACUCAAAAAGCAGGCUGGACAUAAUUAGUUCCAGAAUCUGAAGAGAAACUCAUUGACACUUGACAAACGGUAUUUUGGAAUGAUUCCAGACAUUUGGUGAGUUCUCAAGAUUCAGAGGAGGCCGAGGAGGUCGUGGUGGUUAUGGUAGAAACGGUCAUUCACGUGGUGGCUAUGGCGGUCGUGGCUAUGGCGGCUAUAAUGGUCGAGGUGGUGGCGGCGGUGGAGGCUACGGGUAUGGUGGUCGUGGCCAAGGGAGAGGUGUGUGAAAUCGUACUUGCCUAAAAGGAUUUAUAAAAGACUCGGAAUCCGAAGGAGCUUAUCAUGCUCAUGUACUUUUGGUAUGUUGCAAUAAAAGAAAACAAACUUGAGUCUUAUGUAAUGCUUUUGUUGUUAGAGAAACCCCCCCUUGUGUGGUUUUCGAGUGUAUCAAUUUGAUUUGGGAUCUUUGUUUCAAGACUUCGUAAUACCAGUAUUCAGUGACAUUUUCUUUUGUUUCUCAAGCUUCUUGCCUUCAAGAAAUUGAAAGAAAGUCAACAUUUUGACUUUGAGAGUACUUAGCAGCCUUAGAUAAAAUGGGCCGUACAAGGAGAUAAAGAGAGAGGUCCAUAUGCAUAGAUCCAUAAUGUCUUUUUGUAAUAAUUGAAAGCAUCACUUUGUCGGCAAUUUUAAAGUCUGGGAGCGUACUCACACUGUAGUCAAUUUUGAAGAGAGAUAAUAGAAUGGGAAGUGCUUCACUUGUCUUGUUUGCGAGACUCUCGGGUUUAGUAAUCGCGGUUUUGGUUGUCUACUGGGCUCUCUUGCUCGUCCCUCAUCAAGGCCUCACAUACUCUGUAAUUUCUCACACUCCUUGUUGAUUUCAACUGGAUCACUCUCUAAUCAAGUUUGUCUUAUUGUAGACUCUUCAUCCUCUGCUGAUGGUAAUUGGCUUCAUUCUUGUAAGUGGAGAAGGUAGUAGCGAUCCCUCUCUCUCUUCAUAUCCUUUUGAAGAUUUCAUCUCUUAUCUUGAAUAAUUUAUUUGAUUAAUGCAGCGAUUCUGAUACACAGAUGGUUGCCUGGUUCAAGAAAAACGAAGAAAGCAGUUCAUCUAUGGCUGCAAGGGAUGGCAUUGGUCUCUGCUGUGUUUGGGAUAUGGACAAAGUUCCAAUAUCAAUCUGGAGUUUUCUCAAACUUCUACAGCCUCCAUUCUUGGAUGGGUCUACUCUCUGUUUCUCUCUUCGCUGCUCAGGUCCGUCCCUUUUUUUUUUUUUUUUUCUCACCAACAUUAUUAAUUUUAUUCAAUUAUUAUAUUAAUCAUCUGACAUUUUUGAUGCAUUAUCAAAUCUAUAAAAAAAUUGAAAGACUAGAUGCUUUCUUUUAAAAAAAAAUUAUUUCAAAAGGUUGGAUUACCCGUUGCUGUCAUUAUUAUUUUUCCUUUUAAAAAAAAAAAUAAUAAUUUCAAUCAAUAAUGUAAAGAAUGACUUAAGGAAGAAACUGAGUACCCACUUGGGAUUAGUUUCUAAUUGUUACGGAAAACUGACAAGAUUCCCUUUAAUUAAUUAUUAAACAGAUAGGACCAUCCAUUAUUGUCACUUCAGUCUCUACGCUAAGUUCACUAUGACACGUGGCAGACUCUUUAAAGGUGUAAAUAGUUCGUUUUAAUAGUUGUGGGGUUUGAUCCGGAGUUCUUAGGUUAUGAAUUAUUACGAAAAUGCCUCUAAUGUUUUAAUAGUAAUGCUGUUCGUCUUGCAGUGGGUGACUGGGUUCAUGAGCUUCUGGCAUAGAGGAGAAGUACGGACAACAAGAACCACGUUUCUUCCAUGGCACGUCUUCCUCGGACUCUACACCUACGGUCUAGCCAUCGCCACCGCCGAGACCGGACUACUUGAAAAGCUAACUUUCCUUCAGACCAACAAAAACGUCCCAAGACGCUGUCAUGAAUCAACGGUCGUCAACGGUCUUGGUCUCGGCUUGGUUCUGCUCAGUGGCGUUGUCAUAACAGCUGCUAUUUUGCCGAAGUAUCAGAGUGGCCAUUCUGGUAAUGAGAAACUCGUUUAUUCAUCUCAAGACCGUCCCAAAUGUUUGACUUCUUGAGUUUAAAAAAAAAAAUUGUUUUUGUAUUAAUAACUACACAUCUCUCUGGUGUACAAAUUAGUUAUGUAUUAACGCAUUGUGAUGGUUAGACUUCUGUCGAAAAACUUGGCUCCUCCAACUUUUCCUUGAAUCUGAGACGGUAAACGAAUCACUCUUCUUUGGUCCCCAGCUUCUAUCAAUAGCUCUGAGCCUCCUCUGUACUGCAGUUUCAUCAAAAGCAAAGAUACGUUUCAGUUAAUCAAAGAGAGUCCAAACUGAGAUAUGAGAUGUUCUUUUUCUUUACCUGGUACAGUUUGAUUUCUGAUUUUUCAAACCCUGGCAUGAACAGAGUCACUGACUUCUUAGCUGUAUCAAACGUUACUGGUGGUGUCAAGCUAACUGUUCCAGAAAGAACUUCCCUUACACUAGAAUUCGCUUGGUCCAGCAGAAUCUUGUCCCAGUCCAGACCGUUCCUAGUAAAUGGAACUGAUGCGGAAGCAAAAGGCAGCGGCACAAACUCCUCUCGUGUGAUUUUGUUCGACUCAGAAGAAGAUAUAGCAAAAGCUGCAGAAGCAUGAGAUCCUGCUUGUAUUGUACAGCCCCAAUAACGUAAUGCUGAUUUAACAGACAUGGGAUUGUUUGGAUCCAUUACAAGAAAGCUCCUGAAUCUGUCCGGAUCUCUCAACGUUGAAGCUCCAGUCUAUAAAAAGAUCCACAAGUAACCUCAGAGAUAAAUUUGUUGAAGGAGCUGAGUUAUGGAACAAAUAGAGAUACCUCCAAGAAACGUUCCAAAGUAUCCCACAUGGCAGCACUUGUCUGACCAUCGAAAGGCGACUUGUUGCCGCUUAUGUUCAUCGACUCAUCAACAAAUCUCAUGAUGGAAGGACUUGUUAGCCUCCCAAGAUCAGUCUUCUCAGCCAGACUCCUCAGGUAUUUCAUAUACAAUCUGCCAACAAAUCCCAUAUACUACUUAAAUAAAAGUUGCAAGAAAGCAAAGAAACACACAGAACAGUUCAAAGGAGACCUUGUUUUACUGCUUAAACCUAUCAUCCGAAGAGUCUCCUCAGUGCUGAUACCAUCGUAAACUAUAACGUCAAAAGCCUUUCCCUUGUGGUUCUUUCGGGUUGCUUGCCUGAAGAAACCAACGAGCCUCUCGAGUUCAAGCAUUGAGAAGAUGGAGUCCAUCCCUGGAAGCACUCCUAGCUCUUCUCCAACUACCUACUUCACAAAGAGGACUUUAAAAUCCCAACAAUUCUUUCUUAACACUAGCAGAUAUGAAGCUGUGUUCAUCACAUACCUACCCCUUCAAGAACCCCUUGGGUCAUGUUAAGUCGAGCGUCUGCUUGCUUCAGCUGUUUGAGAGGUUCUAGUAGCAUCUGCAUUGUGUGUUUUCCAUGAACGGUUGUUAAGUAAUGUUUAAAAAUUUAUUACCAGACAUAAAAGAGGGACAUACUUUAGUUGUUUCGAGCCUAAUAACGGAGAGAUUGUCGUUGAUUAAGGUAGGAGAAGCGCCAAUGUUGGUUCCGAGGAGGAAAUCAGCAGAAGGGUCUUGACUCUGUACCACAAGGCAUGUACUGAGCCCAGCCAAUGCGUAAUGCUAUUGAGCAAAAGGCAUUUGAAUUAGUUAUUAGUUAGUAACAACACUUUAUACUGACGACAGUUUCAGAUUGCAACAAAACAUCUGAAAGCUUCGAUCUUUCAGCUAAAAGACAUUCGAUGAAUUCUAGCAUUACAGGUUCCAUGAAUGCAAAAAGAAAGGAAUUAGAAGAAUGGUUGUUUUAAUGACCUGAGCGGCGAAAACAGAGGCGGUGGUCUUGCCGGAGCCGCCUUUGCCGAGAAAGGUGACGAAUUUGGUGGGUUUCUGACAAGAUUCAUCUUUGGAAGAUGUUGCCACCACCACCACAGCCACAGAAGCUGCUCGGUGUUUCCUGGAGAAUGACGUCCGCACAAGAGAUGAGAGGAUAUCGAGACCAGGGCUUGAGCAUGAUGUAAGAGAAGAAGCUAGCAAAGACACCAUUUUUGGUGUGAAUUCAAGAUAUCUCAGAGUGAGUGGUAGCUGUGGAGGUUUUUGAGCGGGGUGGCUUGUGAUAAAGGAGAUCUGACACAGCGACACACAAUUGACGCUUGAAUUCGACCCAGACCGAACUCUUUCACAUUUUCCAACUACUUUAUUCAUACUGCUGAUCAUGUUCCAUAAUCUCAGCUAAUAAAUGUUGUUUGGUCAUCUAAUUGCAAAACUAAUUAAACGCAUAUAAUAAUAAUCUUUAUAAUCCUUAAAACCAAAACAUUAUUUUUAAUAAUAUAGAUAAAAAAAAUGUUUAGCCGCAAUUUCUACCCUGAUUUCUCAUCAGGUCUCUAUUGUCUAAUGGAGAUUAUAAUUAUAAUUAACAAAUCCCGGUCUGAAUUGCAAAUUGAUUGGUAGUAUAUGGUUUGAGUCGGAUUGGACCAAUUCAACCACAUCCUGAACCGACAUGGAGAAAAAAAAAAAAAAAAAAAAAAAGAAAUANNNNNNNNNNNNNNNNNNNNNNNNNNNNNNNNAAAAAAAAAAAAAAAAAAAAAAAAAAAAGGCAUCUAGCCGCGUGUGUAAGCAACACUAAAACGGCGACGUUCGCAAUUACAACUCUUCUACAUAGGGCGAGAGAGCCAAAGAGAUUUUAGGCUGAUACGAGGAGAAAGGAAAUUAGGAAGAAGGAUUAGAUCAAUCUCGAUUGAACAAGAUGGUACGUGCUGUUCGUUUUGAUUUGUAUGUUUUUCUAUUGAAAUUGAUCUCCGAUGCCCUAAGAUCGAAUUUGGAUUUAUUAGGAGAUUUGGUUUAGGGUUCGUUGUUAUAUCUGACCUGAUGUGUAUCAAUAGAUUAGCGUAACUUAAGGUUUUCUAUAAUUUGAAGGGCUUUCACUUGUUAUCAGUUUUUCUUUUCUAUAUGUUUCAGCGAAUGAAUCUUAUUGGGGAGUUUCAUUGUUGGUUUAGUAGUUUAAUGUGUUAUUCGGCUACUAUAAUCGAUUGCUUGCGUUCUGUAUCAUAUAAACUUGAAAAAAUCUAUAUGAGGGAGGAUCCUAUUUUAGUUUGGUGUUUCAUUGAUUUUAGCUUCUUUUUUUUUUUUUUUUUUUUUUUUUUGUAUCGAUUUGUGAUGAUUCAUCAAAGAUUUGGAUUUUCUGGGUCAAAGUCCGAUUAUUUAGCUCGAUUUCUAUCGAUUUGUGAUCUAACUUUUGAUUCAUCCUUAAAAUUGUUAUUUUUCUCCCAUAAAGGUUCUUACUUUGUGGUUGUAGAUCUGUGAUAUCGUUUUCUUUAUCAUAAAGUUUCAUACUUUGGCUUGUAUUAAUCUUAAGUUUAUAUAUUUGCAGGGGUUUGCUAAGUGCUGCUAACAUAUCUUCCAGCGAAGAUGCAGCAGGCCUAUGAACAAGAUUCUUUUUUUUUUUUUUUUUUUUGAAUUGGCAGGAGAGUACUCUCACUUCGGUUGAAAUUUUCAUACUUUCUCUUCUUUUUUUUUUUUAACAGGUUUGAGAUGCCGUAUAAUAUAUGGUGUGGUGGCUGCAAUUCUAUGAUUGCCAAGGGUGUUCGUUUCAAUGCUGAAAAGAAGCAAGUUGGCAACUAUUACUCUACAAAGGUGCGUACGAUUUAGAGCAUGUGCAAUAUAUAUUACCUUUCGCAUGCCUUCUACAACUAUGGCUGAGGUUUAUAUCUUAUAUUAUGGUCAGAUAUGGAGCUUUGCGAUGAAAGCACCGUGCUGCAAGCAAGAGAUAGUCAUUCAGACAGAUCCUCAGAACUGCGAGUAUGUGAUUACUAGUGGUGCCCAGAAGAAGGUUGAGGAAUACGACGUUGAAGACGCUGAAACCAUGGAGCUCACUGCUGAGGAAGGUUGGUUUUCUACCUUCUUCCACAAGUUUGCUUUUACAUUCUCUAUAUGUGUUUUAGCUUUCCAUACUUAUUGUUCUCGAUUAUGAUUUUAUAAACCAUAUAUGCAGAGAAGGGAAAGCUGGCAGACCCGUUUUAUCGUUUAGAGCACCAAGAAGUCGAUCUGCAGAAGAAGAAAGCAGCAGAACCGCUUCUGGUCCGUCUCCAGCGAGUCUCAGAUGCAAGACACGCAGAUGACUACUCCCUAAACAAAGCUCUACGUGCCCAGAUUAGGGUAAGUUACUUACAAGUCUCCGCUUGCACUCUGUUUUUUUUGUUGUUGUUGAUUCCUCCUUUCUUAACUUUCGCUCUCUCCCUCUCUAGGGACAAAGGAAACGUGUAGCUGAAGAAGAGGCUGCUUCAAGGAAGCUAGGCUUGGGGAUAAGACUUCUUCCCAAAAGCGAAGAAGAUGUUGCAGCUGCAUCACACGUGAAUUUCAAGACCAAGUUUGAUAAGAACCUAAAGGAUAAACGAGCGCUGAUCCAUGCAUCUUCCAUCUUUCCCGAGUCAUCUUACUCCAUGUCGUCAUCGUCGAGCAAGAAAAGAUUGGAGCUAGAAGCUAAGAGAAGGAAGAUAUGCGCAGGGUCAGCGUCGAGCUUAUUGAGUGGAGGAUUCAAAGCUUCAUCAUUGUCUAAAACCCCAUCAUCAUCAACCAAGUUCAAGAGCUCAACAGUUUCUGUAAGGAAGCUGUAGUUUAGGCAACUGUUUCUGAAUCUUUGCGAAAGUUAAAUCAGUUGUCAACUUGUUAUACGUGUGGAAAAUUAAAUUGGAUUCUGACUUUGGUCUUGUCAUCAAUAUGUAAUAAUAAGUCAACAUGAAAUGAUUGAAAUGAGUUGAUAAGAAAGAUAACAUGAUUUGGAUCUUUAAAGAGCCAUUGCAACAACAGUCUACUACAACAGUAACACAGAAACAUGCUUGUUCAAGGAGAUGAGUGUAAUGGUUGAAGAAACAUCCUCAGAAGAUGUUGGGAAAGUUCGUUCAUGUCAUUCAAUGAGGUUGCUAUGUAAGACUCUCUCUGGAAGCUCUUUAUCCACAUUGGGCGUUCCCUUCUCAAGAACCACAUUGAUUCUCCACAACACCAUCCUACUCUCCAUUCUCAGGCCUUUGAUCUCAUAGAGCUUCCAAAGCAAAGCCUUGAUGAAUUUAUACUCAUUACCAUCAUACCACUCCACCUGUUUCUUCACAACGCUUUCAAGAUCUGUGAAAGCUCUCCUCACAAGCCCAACUUCCAUUCCUCUUUCCACAAGCUCUCUUACUGAAUCAACCAUCUUAUCUACAGUCUCCGCAACUGAUUUAGUGUAGAGCUCUAACAAGUGAAUAGCAGCACAGAACCCACCCACAAACGCCAACACCCAGGAGCUAUUAUCAACCAACAACUCUCCUGGUGGGUUCAACCUUGUCCUUAUCUCCAGGAGUAGUUUAUCAACCGCAUGAAUUACAUAUUCGUUAUCAUCAGACAUCAUUGUCAAGCACUGGAAGAUAUAAACGGUUCUCUCGAACUGUGUACUGCACUCUGAUGCAAUAUAGUCCCAUAGCUCGAACCAUUUAUCCUCUUGGUAGGACAAUAACUCAAGCGCAACGUGAAACACCACCUUGCCAAGAAUCUUGAACGUGUUCUCGGUAACUCCUACUUCAGUGAGGCAAGACAUAAGCGGUUUCUUGAACUGUAUCACCUCCAAAACAUCAAUCUCCGCUCUCUUUGAAGUGUGGUCACAAAGCAUAUCGUGGAGUCGUCCGAUUGCUAUCUCUCUGGACUUGUCAUCCAUCGUAGUUGAUGCGACCAUUCGCAAGAUUUCCACAGCGGAUAUGGUCUUUAACUUGUUGUACAAGUCAUGAUCAAACCCUUGAGAGGGGCUGAGUUUGAAGGCUUGGUCGGAGACGUGACUCUCAAGCUUCGUGACCAUCUGAUUGAUCUUCAUCGCAGCCUCUUUGGUGUGAGUUCCGAUUCUCGAGAUCUUGAACGCAAACUCUGACAAAAACCCGCAUUGGUUCCUACCGUAUCUACACGUGUUAGCGUCUAGCGCAAGGAACUUCACGAGAUGAGCAAGCCCUCGUUGCAGAAGCUGUUCUUCACCCUUCCUCACAAGCAGAUUAGCUGACUUGAGAACAGUGUCAAGAAUCACCCUUGCCACAUCCAAACCCUUUUCUGAAUUAGAAAGCUGAAUCCCUAGCUUAACAGCAGUUUCAAGAGCUAGACUCCAGUACUCUUCGUCUGUAUCUUGCUCAUCAUUAAGCAACAGUACAUCCUCGAUUUCUUCAAUGAGGUGUUUAAAGAACCGGUUGAUGAAGCCAACAUGGAGUUGCGGCAGAUCAAGAAAGACAUUGAAAGCCCUAACAGGAUCUGUGUUCACGAGCGUGAGCAUACAAUCUCCAAGCUCGUCCCACCCGUGAGGAUCAAGCUUCAUAGCAUUUCUUGCUACGCAAGAAACGAUUCUUCUUAGCAUCUUGGUGUCAGGCUUCUUGGCUUCCGGCAUCGUCAGGCAAGAAACAAGAAGAGGCUUUAUAACAUCGAGUGCCACGGGAGAGAGCUCGAAGCUGCGGUUUCUUAGACCGGUGAGGGCUUCGGAGAGGAGACUGAUCGCUCGGAACCUGAUGAGGUCGUCGGGAGAAUGUAGAUACACCUUGAGAAGCAUUAGGGUUAAGCAGUUCGAGAAGUUGACGACGCAGAACUUGUACAGAGCUUGCGCGUUUUGGUACUCGUAGGUUUCAUGAGGCUUGAAGAGUUUCUCGACGAAGUACGCUAAGCCUUCGUGGCUUGGAGUCGCGAGAAGGUCCCUGGCUGAAAACAUGAGAAGCGAUGAUUCCGCCAUUUUUUGUCCAUGCAAACGUGUGUUCAUGCAAGUGGUGAUCUGAUCUCUUGGAUGAUACAUAUACUAGGGUUAACAAUUUGGUUUUCGUUUAUUUUUCAAUUGGUCUUCAAUUUCUUUACAAUUUUCCUAAUCACAUGUACGUAGUUAUAUUUGGUUCAACAAAAAAAAAUGUUUGGGUCGAUUUAUUAUUUCGGUCGAUUUAGUUGGUUUUAGUGUGAGUAGCUUAAAAUGUAUUAGUUUAUACACUUUUUUUGGUUUUUGAUAAGUAUACUAGUUAACAUACUAUGAGUAUUAUUGGUUUUUAGUCUCAAUAUAUGUAGGAACCAAAAUUCGCAUUGUCGAUUUCCGUUUAAAUAAAAAAACUAGGAAAACCCUAAUUUUCCAAAGGUCCUGGAUAUCUGCUAAUACCACACGCCAAACAAUCAUAACACAAUAAUGACAACGAUAAAGUAUAAGAAAUCGUAAGAAGAGAGCAAAGAGAAGUCUUAUUCCGAAUUUGCGUAUGAGCGUUUACAACAAGGUAUAAGCCUGGGCUCGAGAGCUGUCGGCGAGAUUUCUAGUUCUUAAGACGGCUAAACCUAAUUGAGUCGCAGCUCGAAUAACAAAAACGGAAAGUUGCCUAAUUGCCCUAAGUGCUAAGUUUGUUUUGAGAAAAGUCCCUCUCCCCAUGCCUCUCGUCUAGAACUCCUUAUAUAUUGGCUCCUAGGUCGGUUUACGCUUUUUUCCUUCUGCCCUUAAGCCACCAUAGCAUAAAAAUGGAGAUACUCCAUUUUUUUCCGAUCUUCGUAAUUAUCUUCAAAAUUUCGUAUUUAUCCGCGGAAACUUGACAUUUUUCUUUCCUUGCGAACCAAGCGUAAACCGCCAAGCGGCUCACGGGCUGUUGGUUAAGAAAUCGUAAGUUGGGCCUCGAGUCAUGUCUUAGGUCCCUUUGGACCGUCUUCUGACUCGAAGCGUUUAUUACGGCUUCUUUCGAUAAAGAACGAACUUUCCGCGGUUUUUACGGUAAAGUUUGAUCGAUAACUUAGAAUGGCGGGGAACGUGAAAUGGGUUCGCUACGAUCUUCGGGAGAUAGCAUCGAAAGGUAGACGAGAAUACAUAUACUCUUCAUCUCUCCCCCCAAUCCAAAUCUCCUCUGGUAGCUUCCAUGGAUGAGAAACAGUCAGAUUUCCAGAUCCAAAGCUUUGAAGAGCUCGGUCGCUACGUAGCGACCGAGCGAACUACGUAGCGACCGAGCUUCUGCUCGAGCUCGGUCUCUACGUUGCGACCGAGCGGAACACGCGUUCGGUCACUGCGUAGCGACCCUUUUCGAGCUCUUGUUGAUGACUCGCGUUUCCUCCGCAAAGCUUUUCGUAAGGAAGAAUCUAUUUUGAAAAAGUAUUUGUCGAAGAAAGUUUUUCGUUUUCUUCUUCGGGGAUUUGGACGUUAACUUCGUCGCAACCGUUUUCGACCCCAACAGUUAGCCCCCCAGCUCGUUAGAGUCGAGACUCUAGCGGGCGGUUUGACGAUUUUGGCAAAGUUAAGCGUAUUGAACGAAGUUUACUUCAAACUCCGCGGAAGAGAGUUCUCGAGAAAGUGUUUAUUAAAAAAUAUAAAAUUCCGAGCCCUUACUUCUAUAAGUAGUGAGCUCUUGUCAUUCAUUUGCUUCACACCUUCCCUUCUUCAAACCUUCAAAACCUCUCUAGCUCCAAAUCUCUUGCUUUUAACAUGUCUUCUUCCCAUGGUGACAAGCGAAGUUCCGAUGUGGAGAUGGACGAGGCCACCUCUCCGGCGCCGAUUCCGACUUCUCCGGUUGAAGCACCGGCUUGCGUUGCGGACCAUCUCUCCUUUCGGGAGAGACUAGUUCGUCGCCAAGCCGAGAAAGAACAGGUUCGAGCCGACGUCGAGUUACCGUCCUCUUCUGCACUGGCCGUUGCUCCGGGUCAUGGGACCGAGGGCGUAACUCCGCGAGAUACGGGAACUCUCGCAGGCUCGGUCACUCCAGAUGCUUCGGCUUUACCUACUGGAUCGUCCAUGACUCCGAUUCUCGUCGAAGAUAAGGAGAGGUCUGCCGACUCUAUGCCUCCUCCUCCGGCCAGGAAAGAUAUUGUCCUAGCGCUGCGCGCUCCUAGUGUUGUUCCGGUUGCUCAGCCUAAGGGCCGGAAGAGGAAGUUUACCAAGGGCGGUGACGGGGAAUUUUCGCAGCAAGGAGACUCGAGCAUAGCGUCGGGGCUUCGCGGAAAGGUUUGUCGCUCGCUUAUUCUCUUGAUUGUUACAUAUUUUUCUAAAAGACAACGGAUCCCUAACUUUCUUCUCGUUUCGCAGUUCAUGUCGUUGAUCGACGGGAUGAUCAGCGAGUGCGGUUGUGAGACUAGUCGUCUCGCCGGGGAGUUGUUGGAGCUGCAGGGUAGAUGGUCUGAAACUGAGGCCAUGCUGACGACUAUCAAGGAUUCUCACUCCGUGAAAGUGUCGAAACUCGAGGUCGCGAUAGGGGAGCUCGAGAGGGACCUCGGGAAGACGGCGAGUUCACUGCUUAAGGAAAAGAAAGCCAGGAAGGCCAAAUCUUCGGAGGUGCGUCGUCUUCAGCGUCAGAUCGAGGGUGAUGCUGGGUUAGCGAGCCGCGGAAUUCGAGAGGCUACGGANNNNNNNNNNNNNNNNNNNNNNNNNNNNNNNNNNNNNNNNNNNNNNNNNNNACGCUCUUCGCUCUGAGUUUCAGACUCGCUUGGCGAAGAUCUCCGCUUUUCUGGGCUCCCUCGAGUGCAUCCGGAAUAGGGAUUUAGCCUUGGCGACGAUUGAGGGCGCGAUGGCCGUGGUUCAGUCAUUCCAGAAUGAAACUCCUCCGACCUUAGAGGUCGAAGAGGCCAGGCUGUCUGGCUGCAAGGGAGAUUUGGCAGUCGUGGAUGGAGAUUUGGAUCUCAUCCUAGCUGACCUGAAAUCCGCGUGCUUUCUUCCGACGUGUUCAGAAGGCCCAAAGGGGAAAGAUCCGGUGCUCAGAGAAGGCGGAGGUGAUGCGGCUCCAGGCUUGGACGAAGCGACGGGUGAAGAGGGAGCGUGAGUUCUGAGGAUGACUUUGGUUAGAUCUCUUGCGGGAGAUUUUUUUUUUAUGUUUGAUGUUUCGGCCUUAAAUGGCCUCAUUUCGUGUUUUGGGACUGGCCGUAUGUGGCUUUGAAUCCCUGCGCUCUGCGGCUUUCUUUUUAUGACAGGAUGAUCGAGUUGCAUUUUUCAUAAGUGUACGUAUGGCGUGGAAGAAGGGUGAUGAGUUGUCGUCUCAUAUCCUUCUUCGAUGUGAAAUGUUUCGUUUGAGAUCUGUUUCGAGAGUUUUUCCGCGAGAUAUUGACUUCGCGGGAUAUCUGAAGAUGUCGAAUAUAACAUAGAGGCAUGGUUUUGGGAUCUCGUAUCUUUUGGAUAUCAUGCCUUGAGAUGUUAGAGAUCAGUGCGUUGGGUUUAGGGCAAGACCUAGGUUUACUUUCGGUUUUAAGAUUUUAUGUGGUGACUAGCCGGCUAUCGAUUUAUCUGUCGCGAUUUUAACCUGAUUCGUACCGAUUUAAAGUCUGCGACAGGUUCUCGGCUUAUAUGACUUGUUAGAUAUGAAUCGGGCAUCUCUCCGGAGACAAUUUUUAAGCCAACCGGAAGUGCUGGACCAAAAUUUCGGGUUUCUUUUAUAGCGGAACACGCGUUCGGUCGCUGCGUAGCGACCCUUUUCGAGCUCUUGUCCGAUGACUCGCGUUUCCUCCGCAAAGCUUUUCGUAAGAAAGUAUCUAUUUCGAAAAAGUAUUUGUCGAAGAAGGUUUUUCGUUUUCUUCUUCGGGGAUUUGGACGUUAACUUCGUCGCAACCGUUUACGACCCUAACAAUAUAUAUCAAUAGAAUGGUCUUGAGUAGUUAGACAAAAAAGAAGAAGAAGAAUGGUCUUGAGUUUCCUAUCACUUGAGUCCGAUCAUUUGACAAAUUAUAAUAAAACAUUUAUUUUGGUUUCCAAAUUUAAUAUAUAUAUAUAUAUAUGUUUUAUAAAUUAUGAAAAUUAAAUUUGAUCCAAUUUUACUUUGAGAUGUUAAAGGUCUCUACAUUCUAUGGCCAGUUCUACCAGUCAUAUAGUAUAAAAUAUUGUAUGUAAUGAUUAAACUAGAAAUUUUAAGUAUUUAACCUGUCAUUUCAUUUUUGUAAGGGUGCGAAAGUUACAAACCGCAAGAUGUAGUUAAUAGUAACAAAAAAGCCUCUCUAUAUAUCUAUAUAUCUAUAUAUAUAAAAAUAUGUUCGCCUCAUUCCUGCUUUGCCACGUGGAAAGUCGAUGCCUGACAGGCCGACACGUGACACUCCUGCUUUGCCACGUGGAAAGUCGAUGUCUGACAGGCCGACACGUGUCCCAGCUGUAUUAAACGCAUCACUUCAUUUAAUCUGAAAAUUUGUUGGGCUUUUAUCGUUAGGGAAAUAUCUAUAGUGUUUUGGGCUACUAUUUUCUGAUUAUGUAUGCGGCCCGUCGGCCCGUCGGCCCAACCUCGAUAACCCUAAAUCUAAUGAAGCAAAGAAACGUAAGUCGUCUCUCUCCUUCUUUCUGCGGCGCUUGGAAACGUCUGAGCUUCUUCCAAAUCUCUGAAACGUAGGUCGUCUCUCUCCUUCUCAUUUAACAUAUUUAUAAUACUUAUGUUUUUUAUUGCCACUGUAAAAAAGUAUUUUAUUUAUUAACUCCAUUAAAAAUAUUAACAGUUAGCCAUUAAACUAAAUUAUUUUAACAAAACAAUUAAACAACCACAAAAUGAAAGCUCACGGAGUUGUUAUAAUAUAUAUUAGCCGACCAUUUUUUUCUAAUUGAAAUUGUACUCACACAUAAAAAACUACACCAGUAUUAUAUAAUAUUCAACUUUUUUCAGAUUAGAUGUUGUUCUAAUUUUUUCACACUAAUUAAGAAAAAUGUUAAAUGUUCCGUUUACCCCUAUUUAGUUAUUUAAAACUUAUUGAUUCUUUUCUACUAUUAUGUAAGGAUUAAACAAAAUUAACACAUAUUAAUUCAAAAGCAUACAACCUCACUCACACCACAUCUAAUUUUUCAUGCGGUAGACCUGUGGUAAUCAUUUCCUCGCACAGAUCAUUCUGUAAAGCAAACAACACUAACACAUAUUAGUUCCAAAGCAAAUCUAAGACACUACCAAUAAGAGCUAAAAUGUAUUUUCUCCAUGCCCAAACAUCUUAACAACCAUAAACAUUAUUAUACAUUUUUUCAAAUCCUAACAUAAAACACAUGCAAAGAAAAUAUACAAUAAUAUAGACAUAUACAUCAUACGUAAAUUAUAUCCCGCCCGUAGGGCGGGCCGAUCCUAGUAUAUUUAUAUGUUUUUGUUACUAUUAAAACUAGGAAAAGAACCCGUGCGAUAUCGCACGGGAGCUCAUUUUGUAAAAAUAUUUCUCGGAAACUCAUUUUGUAACAAUAUGUAACAAUGGAUAUCAUACUGAAUAUAUGUUGAUUUAUGUUGAUAUGAUCUUUUUCAUUUAUAAUAUGAUCUUGAAUUUUGAAAGUUCUUAUAAAACGCUAACAAUUAUUAUAGUACUAUUUGUUAGAUCUCUAAAUACUAUUUAGGAUAAGAUGAUAUUAAGAUAUAAAUUCUCUAAAAUUCCAUCGGUUUCUCAAUCAAAAAUUUUAAAUUUGGACUAAAAUACAAAAAUAACAAAUAGAACUCUUUAUGUUCAUGUUUGUUUCUUCAAACAUAUGUGAAAAUCGUUUAAUAUUACAUUUCUCCAUUUUAGUCUAUUUGUGAUUGUUAAUUUUUUUGUUGUGAUUUGUCAGUGUUCACAACUCUUUGUAUAGAUGACCAAACAUUGCAAUGUAAUAACUGAUAGUUCAUUUUAAUAAAAACAGUUGACAAAAAAUAAAAAGAUAACCAAACAUUGCAAUGGUUAGAUAAUGAUUACAAUGGUUAAGACCGAAAAUUACAAUGAUUUAUCAUCAAUACUUUUUUUUGUCAGCAUCAUCAAUACUACAAUUAGCAAUAGUUGCAAUGAUUUAUCAUUAAAGAUGGCAUUGGUUUUUCGAUAAGUUUCAAUUUGAAAAGUCACAUCUGUUCAUUUGAAAAGUUACAAAAUUUAGAUUUCCAUAACUAUUAGUUAACUAACUUGGUAUACGAAAUUAUUUCCUUUUUCUUCUUCUUCAGAUUAUUUCUCCAAUUACUUGUGGCAGAAAAGAUGUAGCUGGAGAUUGAGUGCGUCAGUUUUUAGAGAAGAGUUCGUACGGGAUCAAUGUUGUACAUAGCAAUGAAGACUAACUACAUUGCAGUAGAGAUGUUCUCGAAAAGGAGAAAAUUUUCAUGGAAACAGACUCUACACGGGUAAGCUCCUCUCUUCCAUAAACUGAUUUGUAAAGUUUUUUUCACUACAAUGUUUCAAGAAAAAAAACUUGAUAUACGACCAACCCAUGGGUGCAAACCUUAGAUAAUGACUGCACCAAUAGUAUUUCCAAAAGUAUAUUGAUUUGUAUAAACUUUUUUCUGUUCCAGACCUGAUAAAUAUAUUCACUGCUAUCAACAUUUUUAUCAAAUUUAACUUGUGGAAAAUUGGUUUUUAAAAAUUAGAAAUUGUUUGUUUAGAUUUUCUAAAAAUUAUAGUAUAUAGAUCUGUAAUUUUGCACUAACAAAUACACAACUCUUGAGACAAAUAAUUGUACAAUCAUAUUUUUUGGGAUAUUAACAUUAUUUAAAAAGUUAAUAUAUCCAAAUGAAAAUACACAACUUUUAAAAUUGAUAUGUUUUAGAAUUGUUUGUUGGAAACACACAUAUAUAAAUUGACAACUUUUAAAAUGAAAAUUAUGCUUUGAGAAGUCAUGGACAUAGCUAUUUAUAGAUUUUUAAAAAAUUUGUUUGAAGAGUCACAUCGUUUCAAUUUAAAGGUUAUUUUUAUUGAAAUAAUAAUUAUAUGAAAAAGUCACAAUUUUUCAAUAUAUAGGAUCACAUUUUUAAAUAUAUACAGUUAUUUUAAAAUAAAAAGACAUAACUUUUAAAUAAAAAGACACAAUUUUUAAUUGUUGAAAACAUGUAACUUUUCAGGUUCACAAUCUUUGGAAUUAAUUGAGAUCGCUGUUAUUAGUAGAUUAUGUAGUUGUUUGCAUGUUGGUAUUCAGACCUUAAAUUAAGCAUUUUUUAAAGGAAGAUGAGGUGUGUCGGCAACUUACGAAUCGGACAAACACGCAAUUAGAGAUGAUGGUUGGUUAUUUCAAAAAUAAUGAAAACAAAUUGGAUUGUAAACCCUAUCCAAGCCCAUGUCAUGAUAUUGAUAAAUACUAUGUUUAUUAUAGGCACAUCUAGUUCAUAUUUAACAUGCCAUUCAAUUACCCUUUAAUUUAUAUGAAGUGUGUAUUGACACGAAAAAACAAACAUAUUAAAUUAUAAAUACGUUAACUUACGAUAUAUUCGAGAAGUGCAACUUCUUCAGGUAUCAAUUUCUAUCCACCUGACCUACUUAAAUCGCAGAUGAAAUUAUUCGUUUGUUCGUAAUCUUCUUCUUCCUUUUGUUUAAGAAUGAGAAGAACUAUAUACAUAUUAAUUUACAUUAAAUUUUUUGUAAAAAGGGUUUUCAAAUUUACCAAUGUAUAGUAGUAUGACAUGUUGUGUAUCAAAAUAUGACGAGGUAAAGAAAAUGAGAACAGACGGGAUGUGGUAGCUCGUUUGGUAAAGACCUUGGGGGCCAACUGUCAUGCUCCCGGGUUCGACGCCAGGCAGAGGGGAACUGCCCAUCCUGUCAUCAAAUGCGGUACUGGGUGUUGGGCCUUGUCCUCAGCCCAGGUUUAAGCCCUCCCGGGUGAAGUGGACCGCUGCCUAACCGGGCCCAGGGAAUGAUCCACGUAAGUGGAGAACCCUGGAUUAUCAAAAAAUAAAAAAAAAAAAAUGAGAACAAUUAAAGUUAUUUUCUCCAUUACAUAAAACUUGUACAUAUUUAUAUACUCACAAUAUGAACUAUAUAUACUUAAAACUAUCUAAACUAUUAAGGCAGAAGUACGAAUAAAUCUUACUCCUUAAAGUUGCACAAAUAUUACAUCCCUAUGCCACUAUUAAAACUAUGUCGUUUUACUUACUCUCUUUUUCUUCCUAAUUCGUUGAUACAUAUCAACUAAACAAACCUUAUAUUAUUCUGGGCUUACAAUUUCUAAAUGGCCCAAACAUACUUAUUUAGGUAUAUGUGUAUAUCAAAUAGAUUUUGCAUAGACUAUCGUAAUUAAUUCAACUUCUUUCCUUCCAUAAUACAAACCAUUCCUAAAACUAUUCCUACAUUUACGAUAUUUAAAAAACAAAUCAACACAGAAUAUUUUUUCCUAAUUCUACGCAAUCAGCAUUGAAAAAAAGGAUCAAUAUAACUAACGAAAUCACAUAAUUAUCUUGCCAAAAACUUGGUUACCAAGUAAUUCUUAUCUUUAAAGAUCGAAUAUUCUCUUUUUCCUAUUAAAUAAAAAAAUAUGAAUGUACAUUAAAUAAUUUUACAAAGAUUUUGCCAUUGAUUCUGCGUUUAAAUUAUAACUACCAAAAUUUACCAUUUAAUUAUUACGAUAUUAACCUAACGGGAUCCCAUUUGAUAUGCCAACUAUAUAUACAUAUCUCCUCAAGUUGCAUCGAUAUCAUAUCAAAUCAAAGAAUAAAAAAAAACCUCAAUAUGUCUAACCUAACGACAUUUGUUCCUCUCACAAAACUCAGGCCAUUCAAAGACAACUGGAGAAUUCAAGUGAAAUGUUUACAUUCGUGGAAGCAAAACACACCUUUUGCAGGCGAUACUUUCGAGAUGGUGUUAGCAGAUCAAUGGGUAAGUUUUGUAACACACGUUUCUUCCUUUCAUUGUAUUACUAAUGUCAUGAAUCUAACUAAUAUGACCGUGUUUUUGUUAGGGUAACAAGAUCCAUGCUACUAGCAAACGAUCUCUCAUGCAACGGAUUCAACGUGUCUUACCUAUAGAUUCUUGGGGAGUUAUUGAACACGUUACUGUGACUCCAGCUGGUGGUCAAUAUCGAACAACCAACUACAAAUACAAGAUGGUUAUAGCAGAAGACGCUGUGCUAUCAAGAUCGGAUUUAGUUGAUGAUAGAGUUUUUAUAUCGCUUGCUAAUUAUGAAGAAAUUGAGAAUGGAACCAAAAAGCAAGCUUUUCUCAUUGGUAAUCUCUGUUUAUGUUAUAUUCAUAUUGUUUUAAAACUAUACUGACAUGCGUUUGAUAUAUAUCGUUACCUAUGUUUCUAUUUGUUAUCUUACAGACGUGAUAGGAAGAAUUCAUGACCUUGGUGAUGUACAGACUGUACAAGUUUCUGGCGAAGACAGAAAGAGGGUUCUGUUUCGCUUAGUUGAUGCAGAGUUAGUUUCAAAACAUUUUGUUUUUGUUAUCUUAUACACUUUAUUUUGUUCUUUUCUUUGACUAAAUAUCAUUCUUUGAUAUCGUUAGAGGAAACAAUCUUGCAUGCUGUCUGUGGGGAACAUAUGCUGAGCAACUUGAACCGUUUUCUCUAAACGGAAAGGAUCAAACAAUUAUUUGUUUGAUCAGGUUUGCAAAAAUCAAGGAAUUUAGAGGUUUUUUUUUUUUGACUCUUAUAACAUUAGUUGAUUAAUAUAUUUUUUGUUUGAUUGAAUUCAAAGCCUAUGUUUAAUGUUUUAUAGGCGAGCUGCAAAUCACUAAUGCUUUUGAUGCGACACGACUGUUCCUGAAUGCAAUGAUCCCUGAAGUUUCUAAUAUAACUCAAAGGUUUUGCUUCUGUUAUGAUUAUGAUUUAUAUAUUAUUACAUGCCUAUCUUAUAAAACUAAUUUUUAAAUGUCCAAAUUGAAAUGCAUUUAAGGCUGUCAAAUGAUGAUCUCUCUGUUGCUCUGGUCCCAAAACCGUCUGGAAAGAAGGAUGGUAAAAGAAUGUUGUAUAACUGGAAUGAUGCUGAGAUCAAAACAAUUGCAGAAGUCGCUGAGGCCAAUCAGGUACAUCUAACCAUUUUUCCGAAUGUAAUUGUUUUGCUUUAUGGUUAUGAACAUUUGAAUAAAAAUCCGCUUAUGAUUUUAUAAAAUAUUUAGGUGGAGAUUUGCAAAAUCAUAUGUACUAUUGAAGCUAUAGAUACAGAUUGGUCUUGGUUCUACAUUGGUUGUAACCGGCACCAAAAACGUGUACUUAAGAUUCCUAAAGUUGAUUAUAGAAGGAUGACAAAAAAAGAUAAGCCUAUGUUUCGUUGUGAACUUUGUCGUUCUAAUAUCAAUACUGUUGGACCCAAGUAAGUGAUUAUAAUUACUUGAACUAAUUGUUGAGAGUUCAAAUAUUUAGCAAGAUCAAAGUAUUCUUACUAUAUCCGAUUUUUGUUUUUAGAUUCAAGCUACAUCUGGUUGUGAAAGAUGACUCUGCAACAUGUAAUGUGAUGUUGCUAGGCUCUGUUGGUAAGUCCAUCGUUGGAGUGGAUGCUGAAGAAUUAUGGGAUGGCUCAUAUGAGGAGGUAUAUAUUUUUUUAUGAAUUUGUGUUUUGCAGUUACUUUUCUCUACAAUAAUAGUUUAGAUUUAACCCCCAUAUAUUUCUACUAUAUAUCAGAUUGAAGAUCCAGAUAUACUACCAGAACCUAUUCUUAGUUUGGUCGGCAAGUCUUUCUGUUUUGGUAUUUCCAUAUCCUCAGACAAUGUCACAAAUGGAUCCGACACUUUUGUUGUUUUAGAGGUUUGUUCUGGAGAUAAAGUUCUUACUAUCCAGACUGACUCUCAAUCUAAUUCUGAUAUGGUCACAACUUCUUCUACCAUGUCAUCUGGAUCUGUAAGUAUAUUUUUUAAUUAAUUUAUGCUUUACAUUUGUUAUUAGUGUGUGCUUUAUGAUAGUGUCUAACAAUUCCUUGAAAUUUAAAUUGAUUUAGGCCAUGAUGUUGGAUCAAAUUUCCUCUGAUGAGUGUCCAACUCCUAUAACAAAGCGCAAGGAUGAUGAUUGUGACCUACAGGACCUAACAUCUUCUUCCAAGAAACAAUGCACCAAGAUAAUCAAAGAAGAGAAGAUCAAGAAUGAUUAGGCUGAAGAUGAAGUUUCUAUCCGAUAUCAAACUCCUUUCGCUUAUUUUGGUUUUUUUUUGUUAUGCUUUGAUUUAUUCCGUAUUUUGAAUUUGAGGCUUUGUUUUUUUUUUAUAUUUUAAUUUUCUUUAUUUAAUAAUAAGCUGGGUUUUUAUGUCAUUUUUAUGCAUUCUUAAAAUUAAUUUAUAAGACAGUAUAUUGAAAUUACUUAUUACUAAUCAAAACAAGAGCCUAACUAACCAAUCAACUCAUAUAGUUCUAAAGUAAAACUAUACUACCAAUCGUAUUUCUAAAGGAUAAUAAGUUUGGUUAGAAGAGUUUACCUGUCUAUAAGAGUAUGAAUGUUCGAACCUGCUCCAUCAUUGUUUGUCAUCGGAUCUGUGAUUCCAGUACAACAUAAACGUUUUUAGAACGAAUAAAUGUCUUGCGAAGUAAUUUUACUAAAAAAAGCCAUAUCAAUCUUACUAAUAUAAAUGUUAUAUAGUGAAUAAAAAUGAAUGUUACAGAUGUUUAAAUAAAAUAAUUCCUGGAUUAAACUUACUUAUUUUAACUAUUAUCCUACAUUUAAGCAAUUUAUAUAUUGUCAAUCAUAAAUUAUGACCAGAAAAAUAGGAGAUUACCUGAAUAUAUGCAAAUCUCAUAGUAAGCUAAUCCAUUCUUCCCAAAAAAUCUUUCUGAAUAAAUGCCGUGGAAGGAACAUUCCUUCAUCCUCAUUUGUUUCCUGGAGAUUUUAGUCUUGAUAUGGACAGAAGGGAUAUUGUUAUACAAAAAAGUUCAGGAAAACUACUGAGAAUAAACGAGAUUCAUGCUUCCUAUCUUGCACUUCAGUAUCCUCUUUUGUUUACAUAUGGUGAAGAUGGAUUCAGACUUGGUAUUAAGAAAGGAGCAACAGAAAAGACCAAAAAACAAAAGAAGCCUAAUAUCAGUAUGAGGCAAUGGUUUGCUUUUCGCCUUCACGAGCGUAAGAAUGAAUCUCAUUCUCUCCUACAUUCUAGAAGGCUAUUUCAGCAGUUUGUGGUGGAUGCCUUCACCACAAUUGAGUCUAAUCGUUUAAGAUAUUUGAAGAUGAACCAGCCGUCUUUGCGAUCAGAUAGCUAUGAUUCUAUUAAAGAGUCUGAGAACGCAGGAAAAGAGGAUAUGAAUGAGCAAGGAACUGAGUUUACAUUACCAGCUUCAUUCGUAGGGAGUCCUAGAUAUAUGAAGAAUUGUUACUUGGAUGCUAUGGCAAUAUGUAAGCAUUUUGGAUUCCCUGAUUUUUUCAUCACUUUCACAUGUAAUCCCAAAUGGCCAGAGAUCACAAGAUAUGUUAAGGCAAGGAAACAAAAGGCUGAAGACAGAUCAGACAUUAUCUGUAGGAUUUUCAAGAUCAAACUUGAUUCUUUGAUGGGUACUCUAACCAAAAAAAAUAUAUUGGGAGAGACACAGUCAUGUAAGUUAAACCUGUCUGAUCUGUAUAUUUAUAAAAAUUCCAUACGUUUGAAUUUAUAUAAAUUGUGACAAACGUUUUUUUUUACAGCUAUGUACACUGUUGAGUUCCAGAAACGGGGUUUGCCACAUGCUCACAUUCUCUUAUUCAUGAAGAAGUUAAAGAAGCCUACAACAGCCGAUAUUGACGACAUUAUUUCUGCAGAGAUUCCUAACAAGAAGGAAGAACCAGAACUGUAUGAGGUCAUUAAAGAUAUGAUGAUUCAUGGUCCAUGUGGAAGAGCUAAUACCAAUUCUCCAUGUAUGGAGAAUGGUCGUUGCUCUAAGUCAUAUCCUAAAUCAUUUUCUGAGAAGACCACUAUUAACAAAGAAGGUUUUCCGGUUUACAAGAGGCGUGAGCAGUCACAGAACUUUGUUAUGAAGAGUGGAGUGAGGUGUGACAAUCGGCAUGUCAUUCCUUACAACCGGAAGUUAUCUCUUCUAUACAGAGCUCAUAUCAACGUCGAGUGGUGCAACCAAGUUGGGUCUAUAAAGUAUUUAUUCAAAUACAUUAAUAAAGCACAGGACCGCGUCACAGUUGCCGUUGAACCACCAGACAACAUUGUUGCAAGUGAGUUAGGAGAUGUUGAGAUUACUAAAGAGAAUCUUGAUAAGAAAAGAAAUGAACUCAAGGAAUUCUUCGAUUGCAGGUAUUAUUACCGUUGUUGUUCUUUACAGUAUACCAAUUCAUUAAUUUAGCCACUGUUUUUUUACCAAUAUGUUUUUUUUUCAGAUACGUGUCAACAUGUGAAGGAACAUGGAGAGUAUUCAAAUUUCCUAUUCACUAUCGAUCAACUGCUGUUGAGAAGCUUAGUUUCCAUCUCCCUGGAAAGCAAGUUAUUACAUUCAGAGGGAAAGACAAAUUGAAAGCAGUUGUCACUCGAAAGCUCAUUGAAAAUACAAUGUUCUUAGCUUGGUUUGAGUUGAACAAGACUGACUCCUUCGCAAGAACAUUGACCUAUGCUCAGAUCCCAAGCUUCUAUACUUACAAUAAAAGGUUAAAGAAGUUCAACAGGAGGAAACGGGGAUUUGCUUUGGGGAGGAUUAACUAUGCUCCUAGGACCCAAGAAGAUGCUUAUUACUUGCGUGUAUUGUUGAAUGUUGUCAGGGGACCCACGAGUUAUGAGGACAUUAAAACAUACCAAGAUGUUCUCUAUCCGAGCUACAAAGAAGCAUGUUAUGCUCGUGGGUUAUUAGAUGAUGAUCAGGAGUACAUUGAUGACAUAGUAAGAAGAAGUUUUGAGAGCACAGCAAGUGAGCUACGGAAAGUGUUUGUUAUGAUGCUUAUGAGUAACACUUUAUCUAAGCCUAAGUCAGUAUGGGAAAACACUUGGAUGUUUUUAUCUGAAGAUAUUGAGCACUCUAGGAGAAGGAAUUUUAAUAGACCAGGUAUGUUUUUAGAUUUUAAACUUGAUUGUUCAAUUUAGCUACAUGAAUUUAUGUUUCAAGACUUAUAAUUUUAGUUUCUUUCUUGACUUUUUCAUAUUCAUUUUAGGUCUGAUGCUGAGUGAUGACGACAAAAAGAAGUAUGCUUUACUUGAGAUUGAAAAAAUCUUGAAACGAUCUGGAACUUCACUUGCAAAAUUUGAUUCUAUGCCUAAACCGCCAAAGAUAAGUAUCCACGAUGAAAAUGUCUUGGUGCUAGACGAACGCAGCUAUGAGCGUUCUGAUUUGUUAGAGACUCUUCGAAGAGAUCUGCUGAAGAUGACUUGCGAGCAAAGAAAGAUAUAUGAGGAGAUUCUUUCUGCUGUUAAUAAAGGAGAUGGUGGAAUGUUUUUUGUUAGUGGUUUUGGUGGAACAGGGAAAACUUUCCUAUGGAAAUUGCUUUCUGCAGCUAUCAGAUCCAGAGGAGAUAUUGUUCUAAACGUGGCUUCGAGCGGCAUUGCAUCACUGUUGUUGCCUGGUGGUCGGACAGCACAUUCCAGAUUCGGGAUUCCUCUAAAUCCAGACGAGUUUUCUUCAUGUACUAUGAAGCAUGGGAGUGACCAAGCUAAUUUAGUGAAAGCCUCAUCACUUAUCAUCUGGGAUGAAGCGCCUAUGAUGAGCAAGCAUUGUUUUGAGGCUUUGGAUAAAAGUUUAUCUGAUAUUGUUGGGAAACACGACACACAACCAUUUGGUGGAAAGGUUAUCGUGUUUGGUGGUGAUUUUAGGCAAGUUUUGCCUGUUAUAAAUGGUGCUGGUAGAGCUGAAAUAGUUAUGGCCUCACUUAACUCAUCCUAUCUUUGGACGCACUGCAAAGUUCUUAAGCUCUCCAAGAAUAUGAGAUUGCUAUCAGCAGGAUUGUCACCAGCAGAGGCAAAGGAUCUUCAAGAAUUUUCAGAGUGGAUAUUAAAAGUUGGUGAUGGUAAACUUUCAGAGCCUAAUGAUGGUGAGGCAGAGAUAGAAAUUCCCUCUGAAUUUUUGAUUACAGAUUGUAAUGAUCCUAUAGAAGCAAUCAGCGAAGAGAUUUAUGGCACAACAACUUCAUUGCAUGAAAAGAAAGAUGCAAAUUUUUUUCAAGAGAGAGCUAUCCUCUGUCCAACUAACGAGGAUGUUAAUACAGUUAAUGAAUAUAUGUUGGACAAGCUAGAAGGUAAAUUGCGCUAUUUCAUCUAUUGAUUUCGCAGAAGUUGUAGUUGACUCUUAUUCUAGGAGUUUUUGUUUUCUAUUUCAGGUGAGGAAAAAAUUUAUAACAGUGCUGAUAGCAUUGAUCCCUCUGAUACAUGUGCUGUGAACAAUGAAGCUCUUAGUGCUGAUUUUCUAAACACAAUUAAGGUUCCUGGUUUACCAAACCAUAGUCUUAGACUGAAGGUUGGUUGUCCUGUUAUGGUUCUGAGAAACAUAGCUCCUACUGAUGGCUUAAUGAAUGGGACGAGACUGCAGAUCACUCAGCUAAUGGAUUUUAUGGUUCAAGCUAGGAUUAUAACAGGAGAGAGGAUUGGGGAGAUAGUUGAUAUUCCUAGAUUGCUAAUAACCCCUUCUAACACCAGAUUGCCUUUCAAAAUGAGGAGAAGGCAACUGCCUCUUGUUGUGGCUUUUGCAAUCACAAUCAACAAAAGUCAAGGGCAAUCACUAUCUAAAGUAGGUCUUUAUCUACCAAGACCUGUCUUUUCACAUGGUCAGUUAUAUGUUGCUGUUUCUAGAGUGACUUCCAAAAAGGGAUUGAAAAUUCUGAUUUUAGACGAAGAUGGCAAACCACAGAAACAAACUAAGAAUGUUGUUUUCAAAGAAGUUUUCGACAACCUUUAAUAGCUGAGGUAACAUAAUUUGUCUAUUUAGAAGUUUUUUUUUAUUUUCAGUAUAUGUUUUGGUGCAUAAUUCUCACAUUUUGUUUAUUCUGAAAGAAAGUACAGACAAAUACUAAAAUGAUUUUCUUAUUUUGAUCGUUGCAGGUGUCGCAUGUUAUAUGUGGUGGAUGAAUGCUUGCUGGUUCACUAAGUUUUAUUUUUGUUAUGCAAACAACAUUUCUUUGUUUUACCAAGUCGCUUCAUAACAAUAAGACUGUUAUAUUUUUCAUUUAGACAAACGCAUGCAUUAUAUUUGGUCGUUUUUAACCAUAUCUAAAUGAAGCUGUUGUUAUCUAAGACAAAUAUCAAUGAGGCAUUUCUUCCUCAAACAUCUUAACUAAAACCAGGGUUCCCUAAUCUAAAAACCAAUAUCUAUACUCUCCUAUUUGUUUCACCUUACGAAAUAGCUAGAGUAGAUCAGUAAUUACUAACCUCAUUAUAACUCUGUUGUCCUGUAAUCAUUGUAGUCUGCUUUUGCAUCUUCAUAACUGGUACUCGGUUCUCUCCAGGAAACUUCAGUGUCCAUUUUCUGGCAAAUACAAAGUUAAUCCUACCAAGAAAGAUUUUGUAAUAGCAGUUUAAGUUAGUAACAUGAACAUACGUUCCUAUCAGCAUUAAAAUGUCUGAUGUUUUUAAUGAACUGUGAGCAUAAAUUUUAUACAUGUUAUUCAUAUUUUCAGUGAAUCAAGAAUACAGAAGAAAGCAAUUUAAUCUAAAUAUGCCAUCACAGAGGAAAGGAAAGACGUUAUUCUAGCCUUGCACUUAUUCUAUACUGUCCUAUUUUAUCCAACUUACGAAAUAGGUACGUUAGAUCAGUUAUCAACAUAUUUUGUAGAACACCGGCGCGUUAUUAUCCAUGACAUUGCUUUCAUCCUAUGAAUUAGUUAUGAUAGAGAAGUAAUUACUAACCAUAUUCUCAGGUGUGUGUUCCUCGGGUUGUUGUCUUCCAUUAUAUUUGGAUUACUGAAACUUGGUUCUCACAACGUCCAAAUCAAACAUGCGUCACAUUUAAAAUGACAUAAUAUCAGCUAUCAAACGAUUGACAGAUGUUAUGUUAUAUAAGAUCGUGAAGGAAAAAAUAACCAGGUUUGAAUCACUCAGACAAGUAAAAACCAAACAUUUAUACUUAAGCCAGCGUUCUUUCAUAAUCACAACAUAUUCAAGAUGGUCCUACAUUGCUUGGUACUUAUGAAUUAGUUGUGAUAGCUAAGAAAUAUUAACCGUAUUCGAAGUCUUUUGUUCGCCAAGGUUGCUGGCUUACUUUGCAUCUGGAUUACUAGAAAUUGCUUCACACAACGUCCAACUCAAACAUGCGUCACAAUUAAAAAGGAUAAUAUCAGAAUUGACACAAUUGUAUAAAAAUAGAUACAGAAAUUUUAAAAACUGUUGAUUUUGACUUUACGACCUUAUGUCUCUAAAGACGAAGGUUAAUUGCCGGCAUACUCAUUGAGACUAGAGAUCUAUCAUUCCAUAAGAGAAACAAUCAAAAAAUUUAGGGAAGAAAACUAUUCAUUGAAUCUUAAUCAAAAUAAUCGAUUAUGAAUCUAACCUUUGAUAAAGUAGAUCGAUUGACUUAACAAAUAGAGUGACCAAAGUUAAUAAACAUCUGUUCAUUGGAACAAAGAUAUAUGAGUUGUUGACGAAGUGAUCAAGUACUGUAACGAAGCAUUCCGUGGACAAAGCAGAGCUUAUAGUGAGUCUUGACAGGUCUUCAUGAUUAAACCGGGACCGUGCUAUAUCUAUCCGACAGAAAGCUCUUCGUAUGACCCCUUCAGUUGAUUUAAAAAACCAUCAUAACACAGAAUCUAGAACAACAAAUCAAGAUAAGCUCGGUCCCGGUUAUCUCUGAUAAAUAAUUUCAACCUAAACCUCCAAAAAUCAUACCUGUUUGCAAAAUCUGUUGUACUUCUCAAUGGAUCUAACCAUCUUUCCUCUUUUGAGAGAGAAAUUCAACCCCCUGAGAUGGAACUUAUCGCCAGAAAGCGGACGGCACCGACAGAGAGAUCUACAAGAACGGAAACCAAGAAGUCGUACAAAGAAAACUGUUUCUGUUUCUUUUCCCGGAAAAAAAAUAAUUUGGGCUUCGAUUAAUAUUUUAAGCCCACUAAUUUGAAGUCAAAAAUAAAUUGCCUAUUUCAAUUCAUCUAAAUGGGCUUUGUAUAUAUAAUUGUGCACCAGAAUACUUUUUGAGAAUGUUUUUUGGGUAUGAUUUUCCAUAAUUUGUAAUUUUUGCUGUAAAUUUUUGUUUAAAAAAAUUUAAAUCAAAUGUAAUUUUUAAAAUAAUUUAUCACACAAAUUUAAUAGUAUAAUUUAAUAAAACACACUCAAUCUAAACAAAAUACUCUAAUAUUUUAGAUUUAAUUGUUUAAUGUAAUAUUUAAGUUUGGACUAAAGAUCUAAAUUGUUUAAUUUACUCUAAGAUCAAAAUUAAUCAAGUUAAUUUUUUAAUUUACAAAGUAAAAGUACAAAAAGUACAAAUGAAAAAGAAUGCAACUAAAAUUUAAAAAUUCGACACUUAGCAAAAUGACCAAGAUACACAAUAUAUCAUAACUCAAUAACCUAUGAAACAUUAACCUACAGUCUACAACUAACAAAAAUAUUAAAUUCUACAAAAUAUAUAUCCGCGCGGGCGCGCGGAUCAAAAGCUAGUAUAAGCUUACAAUAAGCGCUACUAUCAAUAUAUAUAUAACGAAUACAAUAUAUUAUCAAAAGCAUACUCAACGUGAUUUGAUAUGAUUACAUGUGAUUAAGAUCACAUUUUUAAUACUGUUCUCGAUUGAUUUUAAUUACCAAGAUUUGACUAAAUCAUUUCCUUCGAUCCAAUCUGAUAACAUGGAAUUUGAUUGUAAUUAAUGGUUACGCAAUUUUUUAAUGGAUGAGUGUUUCACGAGCUAUAGUUUAGUCGACUAUAUUAUUUGACUAAUCCAAACCGAUUAACGUGCACUGUUACCUUUAUAUCAGGCGUUUUAUAUCAAUCCAAAGUCAACUAUUAGACUUUUGGAGGUUAUCGAUACCUUCGAUUAAAUCCAAGAUCCACACACAAUCUGUAUAGAUUUAAACAGAAGUCCCGACAACUUUGAUUCAUGUGUGAAUUUUUAAAAAAUGAACCUAAUAAACUUAUUUUUAGAAAGUCAUGUUAUAUUUAAUAUCUAAUUUUAUCAUUUCAAUUUUGUACUUACCAAAAAAUUUUAAUGGGCUAUUAAUAAUUGCAUUUAAACAAAAGAUGAUCUAUUGGAUUUAUAAAUAGUAUAAAUUAAAUAGAUAUAAUUUAAUUUUGUAAUACUAUACCUCAAUAUGUUAAAUAUUUAAAUAUUUGUCGAUGUUAACUUUUAAAAUUAUAAAGAUUUUUAUUAAAUAACAAAAAUCAUAUUAUCUAAGAAUGAUUAAUAUUUACUACCUUAAACCAAUGAAAAUAAAUUUUAAACUAUAUAGUUUAUUUUAAAAAUUGAACAAAAACUAAAUGUUUAAUUAUUUACUCGAUAAUAUAAAUCUAUGAAGCGAAAAGUUUAAUUUUUAAAAACUUUCUAAAUUUGUGAAAUGUUACAAUAUCCUUGAAUAUGACAAUAAAACAAUAUUUCACUAAUCUUUAUAUAUAUAGUUACGAUUUUAAUAAUGAAAUAAUAAUCCAAAAAUAUAUAUAUAGAAGAAGAUACAAAUACAUGUGAAAAUUUGAAACAAUCUAUUCAAUGAAAAAAAUAUACCGUAAAUUUAUUAUGUUUUAAAAAUUGAUAGACAUAUAUAUAUAUAUUAUAAUAUAUAAAAAUUUAGAAUUGAAAACAAAAUAUUUAUAUAAAAAUAAAUGAAAACAAAAACCCACGCAAUAUCUAGUAUCUUGCUAAAACACACACACAAUCUGUUUAAAUAUCUUGCUAAAAAUACACACCGUUUAAUCAAGUGUUGGCUAUCAUUUUUUUUUUUUGAAAAGAUGUUAAUUUCUUUGUGGAAAAUAUAGCUUAAUUAGGUGUUUUGUCCGCACAUGCGGGCAUAUUCUUCUGAAUUGUUUUCUUAAUUUUCAUAGUAGAAAAAUAUUAUUUCCAGAUAAUAACACAAAUAUAUAUAUAAGAAUUGUUUUUAAAAAUAUUUUUUAUUUUGACAAUAUAUCUUGAUACAAACUUUUGCUUAAUUGAUAUUAAAUUUGAAAUUUUUUAUAUCUUAAUUUUUUUUUAACUUUUAUAGCAGAAAACAUUAUUUUCAGAUAACAACAAAAAACAAUAUAAUAAUUAUCUUUUUUUUCUAAAAUAUAUUUUAUUUUGACAAAUUUAUAAUAAUUUACAAUUAUUUAGUAUAACAUAUAAAUCUAAUAUUAUUAACAUAAAAUUCGUUUUUAAUUUUUUUUAACUUUUAUAGUAGAAAAUAUUAUUUUCAGAUAACAACACAAUAUAUAUAUAUAUAUAAUUAUUAACAUAAAAUUCCUUUUUUUGACAAAUUUAUAAUAAUUUACAAUUAUCUAAUAUAACAUAUAAAUCUAAUAUUAUUAACAUAAAAAUUGUUUUUAAUUUUUUUUAACUUUUAUAGUAGAAAAUAUUAUUUUCAGAUAACAACUCAAUCUAUAUAUAUAUAUAUAUAUAUAUAAUUAUUAUUUUUUUCAAAAAAACAUGUUUUUAUUUGACAAAUUUAUCAUAAUUUACAAUUAUCUAUAUACCAUAUAAAUCUUAUAUUAUUAACAUAAAAUUUGUUUUUAAUUAUAUAUAAAAAUUCAUUAAGGGUAGUGUAGAUAUUAUAUAGAUCUUAUAUUGUUGACAUAAAAUUUGUUUUUAAUUAUAUAUAAAAAUUCAUUAAGGGUAGUGUAGAUAUUAUAUAGAUCUUAUAUUGUUGACAUAAAAUUUGUUUUUAAUUAUAUAUAAAAAUUUAUUAACGGUAGUAUAGAUAUUACCCGCUCUAACUUUCAAAUAAUAGUAUUAACUAGGUGUUUUGCCUGCACGUGCGGACUUAAUCGUCUUACAAAUAUCUAUUAAUUUAUAUUUUACUAAUUCAAAAAUCAGCAUGAUAACUUAUUAUUUAUGUUUUCAAAAAAGAAAUUAAACAUCAAAUUAUAUAUACAUACGACAAAAAAAUCAUUAAAAUAUAUAUUUUUUUUUGUGUUGAAAUUUUAAAAGAAAACAUUCACAUAUUAGAAAUAUUUUAGAAAAUAUCUUUAUACAAAAUAUUUUAGUUGAUUAGUACAUAAUUAUAAAUUGUUUAUUAUUUAUUUUCUAACAUUUAUAAUUGAAAAAAUAAAUUUUAAGAUAAAAAUACAAUAUAUAAGAAUUAUCUUAUUUAAAAAAAUAUAAUAUUAUUAGUGAAAAUUCGUUUUAAUUAUAUAAUUAAUUUUAUAUAAAAUUCAUUAAGGAUAACAUUGAAUUUAACCACUUAAUUAUUAUAAAUUAUUUAUAAUAAUGUUUUAGUUGAUUAAUAUUUAGUUAUAAAUUUUUUAUAUGUUAUUUUCUAAAUUUUAUAAUUGAAAAAAAGAUAACAACCCAAUAUAUAAGAAUUAUCAUUAAUUAUAUGUAUUAAUUAAUUAUUAUGAUAAUUACUUAUAUAUAAUAUGUUAAUUAAGAUAACAACACAAUAUAUAAUAAUUAUAUUAUUUAAAAAAUUAUAAUAUUAUUAAUGAAAAUUCUUUUUUAAUUAUGUAAUUAACUAUAUAUAUAUAUAAAAUUAAUUAAAAGUAACAUUUACUUUAACAACUUUAUUAUUAUAAAUUAUUUCAUGUCUUAUUUUUAACUUUUAUAAUUGAAAAUAUGUUUUAAGAUAACAACACAAUAAAUAAAAAUUAUCUUAUUUAAAAAAAAAUUAAUAUUGUUAAUAAAAAUUCGUUUUUGAUUAUAUAAUUAAUUAUAUAUUAAAUUUAUUAAGGGUAUCAUUGACCUUUUAAAGUGAGAGCUUGAUUGCGAAAAAAUUACUAAUAAUUAAUUAUUAUGAUAAUUAGUUAUAUAUAAUAUGUUAAUUAAGAUAACAACACAAUAUAUAAGAAUUAUCUUAUUUAACAAAAUUAUAUAUUAUUAAUAAAAAUUUGUUUUUAAUUAUAUAAUUAAUUAUAUAUAAAAGAUUAAUUAAAAGUAACAUUGACUUUAACCACUUAAUUAUUAUAAAUUGUUUCAUAUCUUAUUUUUAACUUUUAUGAUUGAAAAAUAUGUCUUAAGAUAACAACACAAUAUAUAAGAAUUAUCUUAUUUAAAAAAAUUAAUAUUGUUAAUAAAAAUUCGUUUUUGAUUAUAUAAUUAAAUAUAUGUAAAAUUCAUUAAGGGUAUCAUCGACUUUGACUACUCUAACUUUUAACGUGAGAGCUCGAUUGCGAAAAAUUACUUCGCAAAUAAUAGUAUGGAUAACAUAAAAUUUGUUUUUAAUUAUAUAUAAAAAUUCAUUAAGGAUAGUAUAGAUAUUAACCGCUCUAACUUUCAAUGUGAGAGUUCGAAUGCGAAAAUUUACUUCGCAAAUAAUAGUAUAGAUAAAAUAGCGUAAUCUUAAUUGCUUUUAUGUUUUAGAACCAUUUUGCUAUAGUUGAUACUAACCAUAUACACACAAAAGUUCUGUUAAAACGUAUCUUGAUAUGAUCACGUACCAGCUAGCACGGUGUGAUAUAAGUAAUAUGUUCAUAUUUUUUGUGGCUGAAUCAAUUAGAAAGACGCUUUAUUCCAUUGUGAAAGUACGAUAUAUUUGAUGUUUUUCAUUACGGUAAUUGUAUACAUUUUGAGCAAACAAUUGCAUUUGAUAUAUGUUCUCGGAGCUUGUUUCUGUCGGUGGAACAAGUGGUGCAAAACAACUCGAAAGAACGAUUCACCAAGAGCCCACGUAUUAUAGGCGGUCUUUGAGUACGACAUUAUAUUUGAUGGGAUCUAUACAACAAACUUAGUAAUUGCAUUUAUAUCUAUUCUCAUAGUUUUGACUGUCAACAGUUAUUGGCUUGCCGUCGUCUAUUUUUUGCUGGGUGAGUGAGUGGUACGAAACAGCUCCAACGAACGUGCCAUCCAAAAGCCACUUGCUUUAGGCAUCCUUUCGACUUUCACGUUUACAUGACAUUUACAUUAAGUAUCUUAUAUAUUAAAAUAGAAGUUAUGACUUCAAUUCAUGUGUGAUUUUUUUUAAAAAAUGUAUCCUUAUUAAAAAUCAGCUAUCAUUCAUUUAUUACUAAUUAUAUGGCUUAACUUAUAUCGUUGCUAAUAAAAUUACUCCUACAAAACUGGCUUGGUUAACAAACCAACAUUAGAUUUCUUAAUAAAUUAUACAUUAGAUCUAGCGUGGUAUAAUUGAAGCUGAUUGAUAUAUGAUUGGUAAUCGAUUCCACCUAGCUACCAUCAUAUACUUGCAUUUUAACCAUUUCAUAGAUCUUGACCAUCGUAUACUUGCAUUUUACUAGCUGUAUAACCUAGCUGUAUAAACAUAAACCAUUUUAACCAUUUCAUAGACUAAUACAUUUUCUUACUGUUUUAGAGUUUUGGUAUGUUCUACAUGCUGUUCAUGUAAUAAACAAAACCAACUUUUAUCUAUUAAAAUAGAAAUGUUGACUUUUCUCAUGUCUGAUAUUUUUAUUUAGAUCAUCAUUUAAAAACUUUAUUAAAUGUAUUUCCUUAAUACUAAUAUAAUAUAAAAUUUAUAAUUACUUAAAUCAUAAUAUCUUUUGAUAUCUUUUAAAUUAAAAUAAAAAUAUCUAUAUUUAAAAAUUCUAACAAAUCUUUUGAAAAAGAUUAUAACAAGAUCUUAACUAUCAAAAUUUUACAUAAAUAUUUGCAUUAAUUUCGUCGUUAGUAAUGAAAUGUUAUUACAAAUUAAUAUAUAUAUACUGUUAUCUUUUAUGAAAUGAAAAAAAAUAAAAUCAUGUCAUAUUUUAUCUAUUUAUAAUAACAUCAACCAUUUUAAAAGAAAACCAUUAUAUGGAACUAAAUAUGAUAAAAUUAUUUUAAAUUGAUAAGUUAAUAUAUUUUAUUUUCAUAAAUAUAAAAUAUUUUAUGCUAAAAUAUAAUAUGUUGGUAGAACAGUUUAACAUCUGUAAAAUAUAUAAUACAUGUAUAAAAUUAACUUAUCUUAAAAUUGUAUAUAUACAGUAAUUAAUUAUCUAAAAUGAAUAAACAUAUAAAAUUGCUUUCUUUGAAUUAUGGAUCAAGAUCAUAAUAAAUUAAUUACAAAAUAAUUUUUUGAACAUGUUUUUUUGUGCAUAAAAAAUUGGUUUUAUAAUCAAACACAAAAUCAAUAUGAUAAAUAUAUAAUAAAAAGCAAUAUAUAUGUGAUGAUUUGAAAUAAUUAAUUUACAACAAAUUAUUUUUAAAAUUAUUGUAUUUGAAAAAAAUGUAUAUAUAUUCAAAUAUAUAAAUAACCUUAAAAUAUAUACUAAUUAUAUAAACUUAUAUAUAUAUAUAUAAACUUGAAAAUAAAUACCGUGCGGAUCCUGAUCUAGUUUAUAUUAAGGGAAAUUGCUCUAGGUACUAAUUUUUAGACAUUUGAUCGGUGUUCUAGGUUCACGACAAUUUAGAUAUUAAUGAUCGUGUAUUUUUUUAAUAUCUCAAAUCUAAAUCUAUAAGUUUUAGAUUUUGUCAUUUUCUUAUCUUCGCUUAUAUUGUGCUCAUGCUAUGUUUUGUAAGUUUUAUUUGAUAUAUAUGGCCCUGCCAAUACCACGUUUUCAGUUCCUUGUAGCAAAUCUUUCAAGCUGGAUAAGGUGUGUUGGCAACAUACGAAUCGCACAACCGUACCUAUAUGGUGGUAAAUGCUACUUGUACAUAUUUACAACAAAUGGACCCUUUUGUAGUCCCAGGCAUUAAAUACGUUUAUCCAAAACGUAUGCAACGAGAUUGAUAAAUACGUUUUUGUAUGCACUUCCACUAAAUUAUUUUUAACUUGUAAGUUCAAAUUUUUGGUUACUGAAUUUUUUUUUUUUGAAUGAAGUGUGAUUUUGAGACGAAAACAACAAAUUAAAUUUAUAAAACGGUAACUUACAAAGUUGGAACAAACAAAUAUGAUAUUGAAGUCAACAUAAGUUGACUUCUAAAUAUUUAGACUUAGUCUACCCUACGAUAAACAUACGAUCUGGAAAUGAACACGAACGCAAAGAAAGCAAUGGCGGUGCAUGCGGCUAGCAACCAGUAAAAAUAAUCAAUAUGAGCUCGGUUUAAGUUAUUGUUAAACCAGCUGUGUCCACCAUCACUUUCUGUGGCCCAAUCAAUAACAAUGAUGAGAAGACCACUCAAGAAGUUCGAAAGACCCAACGCACUCAAAGAAAAAGCAAGACCGAUACUUCUCAGCUCUGUGGGGACCUGGUCGUAGAAGAACUCUUGGGCACCUACCAGACCAAACACUUCGAUCAUCCCUACCAACAUAUACUGAGGAACGAACCACCAUAUAGACAUUGGAAUGGUCACGUCCGGUUUGUCAAUGAGCCCGUGUUCCUCAGCGAUUUGCAACCGUUUGGCUUCCACCAAUGCUGCGAGCACCAUGUUGAAGCACGUAAGAACCAUUCCGGUUCCUAUUCUCUGGAGCAUUGUGAUCCCAUUAGGCUUUUUGGUAAUAUUUCUAGCUAUAGGCAGGAACACAUGCUCGUAGAUCGGAACUGAGAUGAGAACUGAUAUAGACACGAGUGACAAAAAAGAAGCUGGAGGGAUAACAAAGCCCGGUAAGAUUCGUCUGUCCACGGUGACACCUUGCUUGGUGAAGAGAGUAGAGUAUUGGGCGUAAGGAACCAUGCUCAGCAUCGAUGUGAUCCAUAUCGGAAUAAGCAUUAUCAAACCCUUAGCGUCUUCCACGUCCAUAUUACUACAUGGCUCCACACCUUCUUCUCCUAAGAGCAUCGCUUUUGCAAGAAAUCUUGUCACACACAAAAAUCGUCAAAACAAGUCGAGCACACUAGUUUCAAAAAAAAGUCAAGCACUAAACCAAAACACAAAUGAUCAUACAGUCCAACGAAAUAUUGGCUUUGAACCUAAAUUUUUUUGGAGAUUGUUUUCAAAAUAUUCUUAUUAAAUGUUUUCAAAAAAAAAAUUAAUAGAAGCCCAAAUUGUUUUCAAUUUUUUUUUUACCAAAAUCCUUAUUAAAUUUAUUUGGUAAGAGGAUUAUUAAAUAUUUAUUGUACCCAAAAUUUUAGAACCGACUCGGCAAAUGAUAUAUAAGAAAACUUGGGAUCUAUGCAACUUACUCGAGCUGACCAGAAUGUUUUAAACUAAUCAGUUUCCGAUUCUUGAAGGCCACGAUGAAAACUCUACCGAUCCUUACAAAACCGUUGUUGUUCUUCUCGUGGCUUCUCUUUGGAUACCUAUAAGUUUUUCUCCCGAGAAAGAAGAUAGCAAGAGCCAUAACCAUGAACAAACAAGGGAUCCCAAAUCCAAACGCCCAGUUAACGUUGCUUUGAAUAUACACCAUCACAAGAAUCGAUACGGCUAUUCCCCCGGAUAGAAACAAGAACCACCAGUUGAAAAACGAUCCUCUAGCUAUUCUCUCUUUAGGAUGGUCCGAGUCAAACUGGUCCGCACCAAACGCCUGAACACACGGCUUGUGACCUCCUUGUGCUAUGGCCACAAGAUACAGAGAGCAGAAGAAAAGUACGUUCAUCAAGAUAGAAGGUUUACGUUCUUCAGAUGAUCCCAUAAGGGUUAGGGAAGCCGACAAGGUCAGUAGUCCAAGCCCCUGUAAAUUUCAUCCGGUUUAACUACUUUAAUUUUUUUUUGUGAUUUGUUAACGAAUGAAUGAAUGGAAUCUCACAUUGGUAGUUAGAAAAUAGUGAACAAAAAAUUAGGACCAAUCCAAUUAUUAUCAAUUAGUUUUAAGUUGAAGCUCGUGAACUCGAAAUUGACAAUACUAGUGGAAAAAGAAGAAGACAAAGGUACCAACCAGUAUGUAGAUGAGGGAAGAUCCAAGAAUUGUCCGGUAACGACCGAGAUAAGCGUCUGCUACGAAAGCUCCUAUUAUAGGAAGCGUCGAGGCUGUUCCACUCCACGUGUUCACAUUCACGGCGGCAUUCGCCGUCGACAGACCGAGCUGUUCGGUCAGAUAAGUGAUCAUAUUGCAUGCAAUCCCAACGUAAGCAAAUCUCUCUGCAACUUCCACACCUGAUGAAACAUACACAAAGAUUUAGCAACAAGAAACAGAACAUUAGUUAAUCACAAAUUACUCUGUUCACCUAUUAUGAGACAGGCCGAUCUCCAUCCUCCGGUGGAAGAUCUCACGGCGGGGUUUCCACGGUGGUCGACGGAGUCGUUAACUAAAUCUUCAAGAAGUCCAACUUCUUCCUCUGGUAUCGACAUGUCUCGCUAAACUGCGAUUAGGAACUAUUUUAAAACUUAGAACUGAACUAUGUUAAAACUUUUUUCUCUUUUAGAUGAGAACGUGACGAGGUAUAUAGCCGUCAGAUAACUAUAAAUAGAUAGAGAGUACAUACAUCAUUGUUACCAUUAAUUAGUAGCAUGACAUUGAUAAGUUUAGACUUAUCUUCUUCUCCACACAAUCUAUAAACUCCAAUAUAACAAAAGUGUCUUCUCCCAAUAACAAACUCGAAUCCAACUCUCGAAAUACAAGUGUUUACUGAGAAAGCUACGAUCUCAUAGCGAUCGUAGGGAAGGUCUCACCUCGAUUCUUCACAACAAACUCAGCAUAAAAGAAAAAUAUGAUCGCAACAACAAUCCUUUAUUUAAACUGAAAAGCAACACUUCAGCAAAGCCUGUGUCUCACUCCGCGGCUUUGCUUCCCCUCCGUUUCUACAAACCUUCUCCUUCUCCCCGACUCUCUGAACUUUGUAUUUCUUCCUUCUCUCCCACGUCAACCUUCUCUCCAUUUCCCUCCCAUUUCUUCUUCUCAUGAUUCUUCUUCCUGAAGUACACUCUUUGGAACAUAUCAAUACCCCACCCAACGAGACGAAACUUGUCCUCAAGCGGAAAUAACGGAAACUGCCUAGCAAACUCCCAACCCAACACCCACGACGCCUCAUGAGCCGGUAAGCUUUCCCACUGCACCAGUAACUCCAAGUACCCGUCUGGUGUGUAACGAGUCUCCAAUAGCUGAGCCGGAACCAACACGAACUCUCCUUGAUCAGAAAAAGUAGUAGGAUUUUGUAAAAAGAAAAUUUCUAAAAUAAUUACUAUUAAAUAUUAAAAAAAUAUUUACUAUUAAAUAAUUUUUAAAAGUAGUUUUUAUCAAAAUUCGUUUUUAUUAUCUUAUUAUAUAUAUGUUUAAUCAUUAUAUAUUUAACGUCACAAUAUUAUAAAGAAAAUUAUUAUCAAAUAGUUUUUUGCAAUUAUCUUUUGAUUAAGAUUUUAAAAAAGAAAAAUUACUAUUCAAUAAUAUUUUAAUUGCUUUUUAAUAAAAUUUGUUUUUGUUAAUAUCUUAGUAUAUAUAUUUUUAAUUAUGAGAUAGAUUAACACAUGUCACAAUCAUAAAAUAUAUAAUUUUCAUGUGUCGCGAUCAUGUUAAUUAGCAACUUUGAAGAACCAAAAUUUAUAUAAUAAGACUAGGUGAUAAAUGAGAUUAUUUUCGUUAUUUAUAAAAUAAGAAGACAUUAGAUCUAUUUAAUGUGGACAUCUAUUUGGUUUUAGGUUGGAUAUUUUGGACUUUUCAUUGGUCACAACUUAUGUGUAGAGGUUUAGGAUAUAUGAGUCAUUAUCAACUUAUCGCAGUCAUUAUAGAAGAAUGCUUAGGUUUUGCAUUUGGGUUUUGAGUAAGAAAGAUGGAAGACAUGUGUCUUAUAUAGGUUUAAAAAACCUAAUGCAAGUUAUGAUGAUCGCCUUAAAAGCAAUUUAAUGUCAUAUAUUUGUGUCUUGCUCAGCACAAUCGAUGUAUAUAUUGCCAUAAACCAAAGUUUUGAAAUAUAUGCAAAUCCCCUAUCAUCAAUCAACCUUGCCAAUCACUCAAGGUAGCAAAAUCAAUUUCAAAAACAGAGCUGAGCGUUUCCUUCGGUAUAAUAACAAACUGAUUUUGAAUUUUGGUUUAAAAGUGUUAACCAUAAUAAUAGGGAAAGCUCUGAUUUUGAAAACGAUUUUUAUUGUACCGAAUGAAAGCGUUAAACCAUAACAGAGCUUAGCGUUAAAACCAUAACCAUAAUAAUAGGGAAAGCUCGAGAAUAUAGUGUUUCUUUAUUAUACCGAAAAAACUUGUCAUCAUUAAUAUAUAUAUAUAUAUAUAUUGGUCAUUGAUAACAUAGCUUCAAAGCUUUUAUAUACACCAAAACCUCAAAAACAACUGUCCUUGAACAAACUCAAUAUUGUUUUCAUAUAUUCUAUGAUCUAUCUGUUAUAUUCUUUGUGGGAUUAUUCAGCUUUCAGCUAUGCUAUCUAACAUAGGUCUCUAACGUGUAUAUAUUACAUUGAAGAUUAUUAUCAUCAGAAAGCAAAGUUUGUUUCCCAAGAGUCUGGUACACCAUUUCAUGGAACGACCUUCCUUGGAGCAGCUUCUCUAACUCUUGCUUGCUCAAAACGAUUUUCAUUCUCAUAAUGCUCACAUUCUUAUUGUCAUCACCAUCAGUGUUUCUAGUUCUUUCACCAGUAUAAUCGGAUAUACCUUCUCUUAGUAAUUUUGCGUCUUAUUCCACCUCAGGAUCCGAAAACGUUACUUUCUUGGUUUUUACAUUGAAGAUUAUCAUCAUCAGAAAGCAAAGUUUGUUUCUCAAGAGUCUGGUAGACCAUUUCAUGGAAUGACCAUCCUUGGAGCAGCUUCUCUAACUCUUGCUUACUCACAACGAUCUUCAUUCUCAUAACACUCACGUUCUUAUUGUCAUCAUCAUCAGUGUUGAUGGUUCUUUCACCAGUGUGAUCGGCUACAUACACCUUCUCUUAGCUAGUAAUCUUGCGUCUUCUUUUACCUCAGGAUCCGCAAACGUUACUUUCUUGGUCUUUUUCUUUUUCGUUGUUGUAGGGACAAGAUACUAGAGAUGACCAGAGAGAAGCUUAACAUCGGGAAGAAGAUGACAAGCACUGUUGUUGUCAAAGAGAGUGUGGCCAGAGAACUGCGUAAGGAUGUGAUGCAUCGUGAACACCUUUUCAUAAUCCUCCACUUCGAUAUAACUUUCCAAAAUUUUGAAAGCUCAAAAACUUACGUGAAACAUAAGAGUAUCGAUGUAAAAUGUUUGUUAUAGCUUUUAAUUAAAAUAAGAAACAAAAUUGUAAGGUGCUCUAUUAAAGCGACGCAUCAGCAUAAGUUAUUAUAAAUGAAUGUGAGAGCGCAAUGUGGCGAAUGCAGUGUGAAUACAUUAAAUCCAAUACAUGACUUUUAAUAUAUAAGGGAUAUUGAUUAGUCAUAUGUGUUAUUUGAUUAAUCCAGAAUGAGUAACGUGCAGUGUUUAUGUUAUAAAUCAGCUAUUUUUGUUCAUUAUUCAGAAAUUCAAGACCAGUCGUGGACCCCUAGAAGAAUGGAAGUGUAAAGCAAGCACAUAUCUCAUGUUUUUUGUUUGAUUAUCUGAGUUUAAAUAUUCAAAUUUAAAUCUAUGUACUGUCUAUAAUAUUUUCAUAAAUAACCUUUAACAAAACACACAUAUCGAAGCUUUCUUUCACAAAUUAAAUUAUAAAAUGGUAACUUACAAAGUUGGAACACAAAAACAUGUCAUAUUAAAAUCAACAUAAUUAAGUUGUCUUUUGAAUACUUAUUAGACUUGGUCUACCCGACGAUAAACAUACGACCUUGAAAUGAACACGAACACAAAGAAAGCGAUGGCCGUGGAUGCAGCUAGCAACCAGUAAAAAUAAUCAAUAUGAGCUCGGUUUAAGUUAUUGUUAAACCAGCUGUGUCCACCAUCUCUUUCUGUAGCCCAAUCAACAACAAUGAUGAGAAGACCACUCAAGAAGUUCGAAAGACCCAACGCACUCAAAGAGAAAGCAAGACCAAUACUUCUCAGCUCUGUGGGGACCUGGUCGUAGAAGAACUCUUGUGCACCUACCAGGCCAAACACUUCGAUCAUACCGACCAACAUAUACUGAGGGACGAACCACCAUAUGGACAUUGGAAUGGUAACGUUCGGUUUGUCAAUGAGCCCGUGGUCCUCAGCGAUUCGCAACCGCUUGGCUUCCACCAGUGCUGCGAGCACCAUGUUGACGCACGUUAGCAUCAUUCCGGUUCCUAUUCUUUGGAGCAUUGUGAUCCCAUUAGGCUUCUUGGUUAUCUUUCUGGCUAUAGGCAGGAACACAUGCUCGUAGAUCGGAACUGAGAUGAGAACUGAUAUAGACACGAAUGAUAAUAAAGUAGCCGGAGGGAUCUCCAAGCCCGGCAAGAUUCUUCUGUCCACGGUAACACCUUGCUUGGUGAAGAGAGUAGAGUAUUGAGCGUAAGGAAUCAUGCUCACCAUCGAUGUGAUCCAUAUUGGAAUAAGCCUUACCAAACCCUUCGCGUCCUCCACGUCCAUAUUACUACAUGGCUCUACACCUUCUUCUCCUAAGAGCAUCGCUUUAUUUAAAUUCAUCAGUUUUCGAUUCUUGAUGGCCCCAAAGAAAACUCUACCGAUCCUUACAAAACCGUUGUUGUUCUUCUCGUGGGUUCUCUUUGGAUAUCUAUAAGUUUUUCUCCCAAGAAAGAAGAUAGCAAGAGCCAUAACCAUGAAUAGACAUGGAAUCCCAAAACCAAAAGCCCAGUUAACGUUGCUUUGAAUAUACACCAUCACAAGAAUUGAUAUGGCUAUUCCGCCGGAUAAGAACAAGAACCACCAGUUGAAAAACGAUCCUCUGGCUAAUCUCUCUUUAGGAUGGUCCGAGUCAAACUGAUCCGCACCAAACGCCUGAACACACGGCUUGUGACCUCCUUGUGCGAUGGCCACAAAAUAAAGAGAGCAGAAGAAAAGUACGUUCAUCAAGAAAGAAGGUUUACGAUUCUCAGACGAUCCCAUAAGAGUUAGGGAAGCCGACAAGGUCAGUAGUCCAAGCCCCUAUAAUAAUUUCUUCCGGUUUAAUUACUUAAUUUUUUUUUUUGUAAGUUGUUUAUGAAUGAAUGAAAUCUCAGUUAAAAAAUAAUGAACUAAUAUAUAAAAGAUUGGAUAAUCAAAUUAUUAUCUGAUUUUAAAUUAGAAGCUCACGAAUGAUAAACUCGAAUUUAAAGUAUUAGUGGAGAAAGAAGAAGACAAGGUACCAACCAGUAUGUAGAUGAGGGAAGAUCCAAGAAUUGUCCGGUAGCGACCGAGAUAAGCAUCUGCUAAGAAAGCUCCAAUAAUAGGAAGCGUGGAGGCGGUUCCGAUCCACGUGUUCACGUUCACGGCGGCGUUUGCCGUCGAUUGCCCGAGCUGUUCGGUUAGGUAAGUGAUCAUGUUGCAUGCAAUCCCAACGUAAGCAAAUCUCUCUGCAACUUCCACACCUGAUGAAACAUACAUGAUCAAGAUUUAAUUAGCAACAAGAAACAAACACUAAGUUAAUCACAGUUUACUCUUUUCACCUAUUAUGAGACUGGCGGAUCUCCAUCCUCCGGUGGAAGAUCUCACGGCGAGGUUACCACGGUGGUCGACGGAGUCGUUAACUAAAUCUUCAAGAAGUCCAACUUCUUCCUCUGGUAUCGACAUUUCUCGCUAAACUGAAAUUAGGAACUAUGUUAAACUUAAAACUGAAUUUAGGUUUUAAAUAAAUAUGAUAAUUUAGAUGAGAACGUGAUGAGGCGUAGCAGUCAGAUAACUAUAAUAAAUAUAUAGAGAGUGCAUACACCAUUGUUACCAUUAAUUAGUAGUAUGACAUAUUGUCCCUUUGUUAAAAAUUACCAUAAUUUCUUUUAUGGACCAGUUUUCCACGAGCUGUACUUUGGUCGUCUAUAUUAUUUGGUUAAUCCAAACCGAGUAACAUGCCCUAUUAUGUGGGAAAAUGAGCAUUUAAUUUCCGAAGUAUUUGAAAUCGGCAGUUUUAAUACUCAAGUAUUGCUUGCGCAUAUUUAUUCCGCAACUAAUAGUUGACUGCGCAAAAUUGAGAACAAAAUAGUCAACUGUUAACUAAUGAACGGAAAAAUAACGGUUUCCGUCAACUUUUUAACGGUGGAAUAUUUUAAUCAUGAUUUUGCGCAGUCAAUGAUUAGUUGGAGAACAAAUAUGCGCAUAUAAUACUUGAGUAUUUAAUUUGCCGAUUAAAAAUACUUAAGGAAUUAAAAACAACACUCUUUUUUUUUAGAAAAUCAUAAUUUGAAAUAUUCUCAAGUUAGAUAUAACCAAUAUACAAAAGUUUUAUCUAUUAGACAAUUAUAUGUUGUACAUUGGAUCUCUACUUUAGAUGAUCAUAUAUAAUUAUAUGUACUUUACACAUUCAUAUAUUGUAUAUCAGCAAUACAAUGCAAAUGUAAUUAUCUUAUGUUAUUUUUUAUGCUUUUAUAAACUAAAUAAAUCUUUUUCCGGGAUUAAAUAUCUUGUAUAUUAUUUCAAAUUAUGAACCUUUCUAGCUAUGAAUUAUUUUAAAAAUCAUCUAAAGUGAUUUAAACAUGAAGUACAUCAACAAUACGAUGUAACUAUAAUUAUUUUGUAUUAUUUUAUAUGUCAUUGUAAAAAAUCAACAAUCUAUUUCUAAAGGUAAAUAUCUCGUAUAAUGAUUUUAUUUAACUUGAAAAUAUUUUUACUUAUGUGUUUUUUUUAAAGGGAUUGAUGUUAGUGACUUUCAAUCUUAUACGAAAUAUAAAGAAAAAAAUGAGUUUUUAAUUCCUCAAGUAUUUUCAAUCGGAAAAUUAAAUAUUCAAGUAUUAUAUGCGCAUAUUUAUUCCCCAAUUAAUUAUUGACUGCGCAAAAUCAUGAUUAGAAUAUUCUACCGUUAAAAAGUUGACGGAAACCGUUAUUUUCCGUUCAUUAGUUAACAGUUGACUAUUUUGUUCCCAAUUAUGCGCAGUCAACUAUUAGUUGAGGAAUAAAUAUGCGCAAGGAGGGAUGACGGAAAGUCUAAUCCAUGGUCAUUUCGAAAUAUACGACCAGAGGGAUGACCGGAAAGUUGAACAUCGGUGAACUGGAUGAACCAGAAACUUUUCACCGCUUAUGUGUACACGUGUUGUACUACACGUGCAAUUUUUGUAUAAUAGUUAUCUUUAAGUUUUGUGAUAGGCUUUUAAUGUUUGUAUAGGUCUUUCGGAUCCUCUUAUACUAGUUAAGCUUUUACAAAAAUUAUUGACAAAAAAUAUUAUUAUCAUUGUGAGAAAGUCUAGUAGAUUUCUCACAACAUAUAAUAAUAUUUAAAAAUAUUGUUCAUUUAAAAAUUAAAGUAUAGAAUAUUUUUUUCAAAACACGUUAGAAUAUUUCAAACAAUAGAUUAUUUCCUUCUUUUUUGCUUUUUUGUAUUUCUUCUGUUGUUUUUUUCAUGAGAUUACUUGAGAUAUUUUCAAUAUUAAUGCUCUUAGUAAUAGCAAAUUUAGUUUUAGUGUCGUAGUUUUUUCCAUGUAGGAGCUUCUUGCAAACCUACGCAGAUAGAACAUCCGAGUAGUAGCAUAAAACGAAAAAGAAUUCUCAUUCGUAAUAUGAAGAAUGAAUUUUCAAAAAAUUGGUACAUAAAAAUAAAGUAUAAAUAUACAUAGCGGUUUGUUGACAAAAAAAAAAACAUAGCGGUUUCAAAAUUCAUGAUACCCAUGCAAUAUGGAUAGGGUGCUCAACAGAAUGAUUGUACCACUUUGCCAAGAGUGAUUACCACCUGAUUUUUUUUUUUUUAACACAAAACUUAUAUUAAUGCAUAAAAAGUGUUAGGUGCCAGCCAUGAAAGCUUCUACCUCACCCAAACAUUGUUUAGCACGCUUUGUUUAUUCCCCUUGAAAUCUAACGACCUAGAGAAACUAACAAUAUCCGCGAUACAUUACAAGAAAUAUGAGUAUUGGUAGCACAUUAUAGUAGCACGAAUUCACGUACUGUUAUUAAAAAUGACUAUUUUGGAUGUCUAACUCUAUUGUAGCAUUAAAUCAACGUUACCUAGUCGGAUUUUAGGAAGUGGAAAGCCAAAAAUCCAAUUUUUAUACUUGUAACAUUCAUGAGUGCCAAAUACUUAGUGAAAAAUCACAUUUGCCACCAAAAUAUUUGGUUUUAGUAGAACUAUUUUUUUUCUAAGUCUUUUCAUUUUUUUCUUGUUCAGAAAAAAAAAACAUCAAUUCACUAUUUUAUCUUCUUCUCCAUUAUCCACUUCAAUCGAGCUUCUUCAUCCUCCAUCUUCUUCUAUUAUGGGUCAUCUUUCUCUAAGUUUCCCUUAAAUCGAUUGACUGAAAUCGAAGUAGCAAAACUAAAUCUAGAGAUUGAAGAGUAUUAGCGGAGGAGGAGACGAAGCCACGACGGAGAUGCUGCCGGAGUUUUAGUGACGGUAACAUCGGCUGCCUUUCUGCAAGCCUGGUAACGUCUCUUGUAUGUUUAUAAGCUAAAGCUUGUACCUUUGAAGCUCUGCUUAGACUUGGUCUCACCUUUUCUUUUAGUUACUCUGUUUCUUUUGAGAAGAAGCGGACAUUUCUGGUGCUUCUGAGUCCUGAUUCUUUGUGAUUUCAAGGGUUUGUGAUUCAUGAUCUUUGUUUCCAGAGCAACCCGAGUUUGAAGAAGGUUUUGACGAUGAGAUUAAGGAAAUCGUUGAGAAGUUUAACUUCAGGGAACCUGUUGCCUCUGAGGUAAGACUCUUUUCUUUUGGCUCUUGUCUCUUGAGCUUGAUUGAGAGAGUCAAGCUAAAAAAAAUCCUUCUGCUGUGACUGGACUGAAUUGAAACUACAGUUUGAUGGCUUGUGGUGAGAUCUUAUUUGUCUUUAUCUGAUCUGAUCGUAGCUCUUAUUACUGAGUUUAAGUUUCAUAUCUGUUGCGGAUGACUGGACCAAGGCUGCUAUGUAUUGAUUCGAUAGGAAUGGUGUAGAGCCUGAUGAUUGACGAGGCAUCAAGGGUUGCGAGUUCUAGAGUACCAGAAAACGGAAUCCUUGCUCCGGAGCAUCUUCACUGCCGCGUCGGGUUGAGAUUGUGAAGGCUGCGACUGUGGAUUCAAAUUCUCAUCAUCAUCCUCUCGGUUUGUCCUGACUUCAAGUGUACUUAAAAAGAAGAACACGUUGGGUAUUGUAUGAUCACUUUCUUGUAUUGGCAGUGCGUUAGUCUCAAAGCAACUUUCCAUUAGAGGAAGACCGCAAUGACUUGCAUUCACUUCAAAGGAUGAUUUAGGUUUCUUUGAUUUUGAUUUUGAUAUGUUAAAGCUUGUUGAGGCAUUGGUUCUUAGAUGAAGUUCCUAGACUUAGCAAUCAUAGGAAUUGUUUUGGUUUAUGUGUAUUUUGGAUGAUAUAUAAAAUAAUGUAUGUUUUGAAAAUUUAAUGAAAUAUAAAUUUUUAUAUAUAGAUCAAAUUGCAAUGUUUUUAUUUACAUUUAGCACUACAAUUUAUGUGUCAAUUAACAUUUUGGCAGUAAUAAAUUAGAAAAAAAAAACAAAAAAUAAUAAAUUUUUAUUUCAAAUUCUAGACCCUAAACAUGCCAUAAACUCCAAUAUACAACACUUGUGAUAAAUUUCAAUAUGAACAUUUGUAGAAAUUAAUAACUAGAACAAUAAUGUAUAGAUGACAAAAAAAGUUUUGUAUUUUGUAGUUUUUUCAAACUUAUAAUUUAAAUUUUAAACUUAAACUCCAUUUAUAUCCUAAAACUCAAAUCAUAUAAUUAAUUCUAUACAUUUUCCUAAAUUUCUAUACAAUUUCUUAAAUUUCAAAUCUUUUCUCCAAACUCUAACCCCAAAUUUCAAACUUUAAACCAUAUAUUUCAAACAUCAAACCCCCAAAAAUACUCCAAACCUCAAACCCUGAACUUAAACCUUACAUAUACAUACUUCAAACCAUAUAUCCAUAUUUAAAAUAUAUACUUAAUAAUUUUAAUACCCUAAAUUAAAUCUUGCAUACAAAGUCAUAAAUCUAAUAUAUUCAACUUACAAUAUAAAUUUUAAACUUAAAUAACAAAUAUAUUCUAAAACUCAAACCAUAUACUUAACCUUAAACCCUAAACCACAUACCUCAUAUUAACCUAUAUCAUAAAACAUUCAAUUUUGAUUUUUUAAUAUUUUAUUCAAUCACACAAUUUCAAAAUUUAAAUACAAAAUUCAGAUUUAAAAUUUGAAAUUAUGAUAUCAAAUUAUCUAAAGUUUUUUUCGUCAAAUUAUUUAAAGUUUCUAUAGUUAAUUAUAAUAACUAUAAAUAAAUAAAAAGCAAAUUCAAUUGUUUUUUGACCCAUUGAUUUAUUUGGAUCAAAGGCCCAAAAUCAAUCUCCUUAUCUAUCCUCGUCCUUAUUUUCUAUUGGUCGAGACAAUAAUAAUGAGGAUCUCAAUUAUAGACCAUUGAUCACAAUUUAAUCAAUGGUCCAGAUUAUUUUGUGUUUUUUUUUUCUGAUUGGCCACACAAUUCAACCCUCUCUCUUCCACAGGUCUAACGCCUCUCUUCUCUGUCUCUCUGUUUCCUCUCUCUCUGAUUCUGGUUUUGUUUUUGGGUUCUUAGUUAAAGAAGGUGGAGGAGGCUGAAGAAGCUUGAUGGUGGCGGUCUCGAUGUCGACAAUGGUGGUCUCUUUUAACACAACUCUUCACCAAUCUUCUCUGAGUCCGUGGUAAUCUUAGAUUCUCUGAAAUCUUACAUGCUUAUGUCUCUAAUUCUACACACACACAUACACACUUGCAUCUGAUUGUUUAUAUGUUAUUUUUUUUUGUAGCUGUAGCAUCAAGAUUUACUCUGGCUUGAAGCCUCAUUCUGCAAGUUCGUUCCUUUUUCUUCUUCUUAAUCUAAUUGAAAGUUUUUGUCUUUAAAUCGAAUAGGGUUAGUACGAAUGAGAGUGAACUGAUUUAUUUAGUGUUUCUUAUAUUCCUUCACACUUAACAUGUUUGGGUUUUUGCAGGAACAAGAUGUGGUGUGGAGAUGACAGAUAAGGUAGCGGUGGUGGUAGAGAUGGAGCCGAGCAAGAAGAAAAAGAGAAAGGUGGUCAUGAGCAGUCAUGACAGAUGAGAAAGCUUGAUGGUGGUGGAAUAGGAGAGCCAAUGGCGAGGUUUGACGGUGGCUAUUCAAAGCCGAUGAGGCAGAAGAAGAAGAAAUUGACGGCGACGAGUUUACUUUAGAUGCAGGGUUAAUUUUUUUUUAGGUUAAGUUGUUUCAUGUUUAGAUUAUCAAACCGGGUCUGGUUUACUUAGUUUUUUUAAAUUUCGGUUUAGUUUUGUUCAACAGAUUUUGUUUGUAUAUUGAUUUUUAUUAAUAAAUCAAUUUGAAUUAUAAAUUAAUUUUCGAUUUAAUUUUCUAAUUAUUUAAUUUUCAAUUUUAUUAAUAAAUCAAUUUGAAUUAUAAAUUAAUUUUCGAUUUAAUUUUCUAAUUAUUUAAUUUUCAAUUAAUUAAUUAAUCAUAAUUACCUUAUUUAAUUAAUUAAUUUUGGUUAUUUUUAUAUAGUUAUAGCAUUAUAUAUAUGUUAUUAUAAAUUAUUUUAUAGCACAGAUCGAAUGCUAUAAAACAUGAAACUAUAACUCAAGAAUAACGCUAUAAUAUGUCUAUUUAUUAUAGAAUACGAAAAUACGCUACGAUAACUGGAGAUUCUAUUAUAACUUCGGCUGUUACGGCGUUCAACGAAACGCUACGAAAACGAUACGGUAGCACAUUCUCGAUGCUACUAAUGCCGAUAUUUCUUGUAGUGAUAAUUCCAUAGAGUUCUGAGUGUGUCUCUCCUGAAUUAAAAGCUUUGAUUAACAAGGCCGAGUCAGAUUCACACCGGAGUCUUCGGAUCCCCAUGUCUAUGCAUCUCGCGAGAGCCUCCCGAAGAGCUAGUCCUUAUGCAGUCAAGACAGAACCGACAAACCUAGCCGGUUUAGUGAAUUCAGCGGUUCUCUCCUGUGUUUUCACCGUCCAUCCGGUUUAGUAAAUUCAGUGAUUACCACCUGAUUAUCACCACGGAUGUCAAAAUGAGCUAGCUCGCUCAAUUCAGCUCAACUCAUGGUGAGUUCAGGUCUUUCAUGAGCUAGCUCAGUUUAGCUCAUUUAUUAUAUGAGCUUCAAUAUACAAACUCGAACUCAGAUCAUCUAGAUCAUGAGUUAAAUGAGCUAACUCGCGAUCAUACAUAAAAAAAUAAAAAUUAUAAAAAUAAUAAAAAAAAUAAAAAAAUAGAACAUGUUUUUAUAAUAUAAUUUUAAAUUUAAAACUCCAAAGCGUUAAUAUUUAAAUACUGAAUAAAACCAAGACCUAAUAAUAUAUUAAAUCAGUGAUCCAAAAAUAUAUUUUACAUAAAAUUCUUGUGAUGAUUCAUAUUCAAACUCUUUAUCUAUUCAAAUCGUAAAGUUAUAUAUUCCGCAUGAAAGUCUUAGGAAUAUUUAGUUUUAUAUUUUAGUUCUAAAGAUAUAUGAUAUGAGAAUUUAUAUCAAUAUUCUCUUACAUUUAGUAUAUAUUUAUUAUUUUUUGGUUAUAUUUUAAUUUUAUAAGAUAAAUAUGAUUAGUAUAGAAAUUUUUUUUCUUACAUAAAAAAAAUAUAAGUCAUCUAUAUAUAUAUAUAUAUAUAUAAAGUAUAACACGACCAAGCUCAUGAGUUAGCUCAUGUUCAUUAAAAAUCGUUCAUAUAACUCCUAAUCUAAUUUAAGCUCGAUCAUUAAAUUCAUUUAUUAAAUGAGUUUAAAAAAUAGAGAUCAUAUUCAUGAAAAAUUGUGCUGAGCUGAACCAGCUCAUGAGCUAUAGCUCAUUUUGACAUCUCUAAUUUUUUUUUUUUUAACUACAUUAGCAAAUGGAUAAAACCAAGUUUAGGGGACAAAAAGAAACUAUGAAAUGGAGAUACAAGGGAAACACAUAGAAAAAGCUCAACCUUAUAAACAUCUAUGAGUUAAUCUAGACAGUUUCUCUUAAGAUCCUUUAAUGCAGCCUUAAUAUUUUCUAGUGUGGGCCUUAAUAUUUUCAAAUGUGGGCCUAAAAUUUUCUAGUAGUAACGUGGCUUAAAGUAAAUUUAUUGGACUUAUGGAAAGGCUGACCUGUAACAAAAUCCUAGACAAUAACACAAUCUACUUUUUUUCAAUUUAUGUAGAUUAAAGAUAUUAAGAUAUCAUUAAAACUAGAUCGUCUUUCCGCGCUACGCGCGGAUAAUUGCUCUAUAAAAUUUUAGUUAAAUAUGUUGUGUGAACAUAAGAUAUUGCAGAACCAUUUUCAAUUUAAAAACUCAUUUUGAAUUAUAAUGGUAGCAUAAAAAAACACCUUCAGUGAAGAUUCUAAGCUUGGAAUUCUCAAAAUACAUAUAUGUUAUAUGUAUAUAUUAUAUUAAUAUUUAAUUGUAGAAUUAUUAACUUUACGGAAAAUACAAAUCAAAUGAUCAGAAAAAAAUAUUUUGAGUUACGUUUUUUGUAAAGUUAAGAACCUAUAAUUAAAUAUUAAUAUAUUUAUACACAUAUAUGUAUUUUGGGAAAUCUAAGUCUAGAAUUCCUAUUGGAGAUAGUCUAAGAUAGAUGAAAUAUUUUGUUUGUAUACAUGCUUGAAUAAAAAAUCAAAAUUAUUACCAACAUAUGUAUAAAAGAUUUCUUUUCCAAUAACACACUUAAAAAUAUCAUUCUAAGUUCACGUCAUCAAUUUGAAAUUAAUCUCUGAAUUUUGUUUUUAAGACUGAAACCAUUUUGAAUAUGUUUGGUUUUGCCGUAUUGACUUUAGUAAAACAAAAAAAAAACAAUAAUGUAAAAUUAAUUAUAAGCACAAUUCUCUUAAAUAUUUUUUAAGUUUUUUUCACCAACAGAGUUCCAAAGAGGAAAUGUUCAAAAUAGAUUUAAUUAAGGAGGCAAAAGAUCGUUUUACCUUUUUCCCUCCUUUGCUCUAUAGAUAUAUAAAUAUAAAUAAUUAUUUAAGUAAAUAAUAAACAUUAAAAAUUAAAAAAUAUUUUGAUAGUUCUUAAAUUAUAUGUUUUCUAAUUUGAAUAUUUAUAAUUUUCAAAUUUUCUUUUGAAAGGCAAAAUGAUUUUUAAAAUUUUUGAUUUUUAAUUCUAAAUAUUUAUCUAUUUAUUUAAAAAAUUAAUCUCAUCUCCAAAAUUCACCUCUCAUAUCUAGACUCUAAAUUUAUAUUAGUUACCGCUAACAAUAUAAAUAUCUAUUUACUCUUUAAUAAAAUAGAUAACAUGAUGAUUUCUAAUCGUGUUACUCAUUGGAAACUCUUUUGGUGAAAAGAUUAAAAAGAUCAAUCCUUAAAAAAAAAUAUAUUAUAAUAUUAUAUUUUAUUAGCAUAAUUUUUAUUUUAUUUUUGUUAUAUUUCUUUAAUUUUAUCAUUCAAUGGUCAAAAAGGUAUAGUUCAGAAUAUAGUUUUUAUGUAUUUCAAAUUUAAAACCCAACUUAUAAAGAACGAAACCACAACACAUGCUUAGGAAGGAGAGUACCUCAACUUCACAAGUCAUUAUUCUUUAUUUAUAAAAAUAUGCAAGAACAGAGUUCAAAAAUAGUUUGGAUAAAGUUAUGCUAGACUCCCUAUGACAGAAAUGAAUUAAUCCAGGAGCAUGUGCUCUCUUCAUCGAUUGCGUCUGGUUGGCUUUCUGCUACUACAAAUGGUGGCAGAACUGCAGGAGAAACAACCUUCGUCACACUUAUGGUCUGUCUCUUAACUGUAAGGUUGGAGCUUGAGACUUCCACUAGACAUUGUGGAGUUGGCAUCUCAUGGUUAGCACCGAUGUUCCCAUUAGCCUGCAAUAUCAAACAUGAUUAAGUCAGUUUAGAUUGUUUGGGAGGUGAAAUAUAAGAUGAGUAUGAGUAACCUCGAAGUAAUUGUUAAUAAUCUCUAACGCCUGCCUCCCUGUUAGCUCAGAACCAGUAUUACCAAGGAGCACAAAAGUUGCCUUAACGACAUUGUCGUAGACAGAUAUCUCAGCACGGUACCUGUUACAAAGAGAAAGCACACGUGAACAACAUGCACACGUGAACAACAUGCUAAGCGAAAGUGUAAGGUGAGGGUUUUGUAAUGUACAUUUCAACUCCAGAAAAAACAAUCAACUCACCAUCUAUUCCGAUAUAAUCAAAACACGAUAACAAUGUCAUAGAUUUAAAUCUCAAGAAGACCAUUGUAGCUUGCUAUUGUCUACCUCAUGUUACCAUGAGUAUUAAAAACUAACUGAAUCGAAACUAAGAGCUUUCUGUUAAUCUUAUCUAUCUAUGCUUUGGACAUAGUUGAACAAAAACGGACAAUUAAAAAGACUUCAGACUGUUUUGAUAAAUAUAAUGCAAAUUAAUCAAGAUGUUCUUGAACUGAUUCGUGAUUGAUUAAUCAAGAUGUUAUUGACUAAAACAUGGAAACGUCUUACAGCUAGCUGGUAGGCCUCACCACAAGGAUUUGUGUGCUUCAUGACUGCACAUGUCGGGUUUUCAGAAUCUGAUACGCAGUUCCACGCUGAGUCAACACCAAGAUAAUUGUUGUAGACAUUUCCUGCUCAUCAGAAAAAAAAAUUUAAGUAAUAUAUGGCUGAAAAAUGAGGAUAAAGAUUAUAAACGGUAGUUGAGAACUAUAGUUGAGUACUAAGACCAUUUGGCAAUCAAAACCAAAAAGUAAAAUUAAUAUACCUUUACAACUAUAAUGGCAAAACGAUUAUUACCUUCCUCUGGAGCUUUGCCCAAAAAAAAAAUUGCCCAAAAAAAAACCUUCCUCUGGAGCUGAAGCGAUGUGUUGCAAUACCCUAGCACUCGCUUCAGUAAGCUCGUCUCAACAUAAAAUGCAGUCAUCCUGUAUGGAGCUGAAUCAGAUGGUUUCCAUACAGAAUAAAAUUUAAACAACUCUAUUGUUGAUUUCUCUAUCAUUGAUUUCAGUUGAAUUAAAAGGAGAUUACCCCAUCGGAAGUAAGUUUCUAAGAAUUUGCUAAAUUUUAAACUAACAUAAACACAAAACUAAAACAUAAAUAAUCAGAUAACAACAAACCUUUUAAAAGCCUCUCUCUCUUUGUCUCUCUUACAACCUUUGCGCUUUGAUCUCAGCUUGGUUACCAUACUCUGGAUCUUUAUCUGCAUCCCAAUAAAAUACCAACAACAACAAAAAAAGCAAAAUAAUUUAAAUAAUUUAACUGUAUUCGACAACAAAACCUAAACCUUACCAUAGAGAUCGCUUCAAACUCUUUGCAUGAAUGGAACCAGAACCAAUUGAACUCAAUCGCUAAACUAUGUUCUUGAAGAACGGAUAGACCUUGAAAGUGUCAAAAAAAUUUGAGAUAAGAGGUUAAAGAGGCUGAGAUCCACGCUUCAGAAAUUUUUAUACUGGCUUACACGAUUCUGAGCUAUGCACCUUGUAGCACAGAUUCAUGUUGAGGUGUAGUAUAGGUUAGAUGAUAAGAAAAAGGUUAUGAAAUUCAGGGAUUUAGAAUAUCAAGCCAUACCUCUUUGCCAUAAAUAACAGAUCAAACCCUAUGAGGAUCUUUCUUUUUGCAGGAUUCAAAGCUGUAGAUGGAGCCAAGCAACCCCUUUUUUCUUCAUGGAACUGGUGGUCGAUUCAGUUGGAGCUUUAGUGGUGAUUUUCCUGGAUUCUUAGACAUUGAUGCGCUGGUUGAUAUUGUUGGAGCUUUGGUGCUAGAUUUAUUCAAAGCUUUGGAUCUGGAAAUCUGACUGUUUCUCAUCCAUGGAAGCUACCAGAGGAGAUUUGGAUUGGGGGGAGAGAUGAAGAGUAUGGAUGAGUUGAAGCUUUUAAUAGCUUUGAUGGUGGUGGACUACAUUACACAAUCGACUGAUAUCUUUUGGUUAGCAAAACAGUGCCACGCUUAUGUAUGAUAUAUAUUCACUAUGUGUCCUCAAGUGGUCGAUUUCAAACUAUGUUGUUUUUGGUUUUAAGGUGUAGAACAACUGCUUUGGAACGUUUAAAUGAUCAAACUUGCAAUGUCCUUUUCGUAAAUGGUCCUUUGGAGAAUAUUAAGAUACCAAGACCACCUCCUCCUCCAUAUGUAUGGAGUAUGGACUCUGGUCUCGUCAUAAUUGUGUCUAGAAUUUCACCAGGAAACUCUUUCUUACUAAAACACUGUUUCUCUCUAAACUAGUUGAUUGUGAGUUCAUGAGAGACUCGCUUACGCAGAGUACCCUACACACAGUCACUGGUUCAGGAUGUAGUGAUUAUAUAUUUACAUAUGUAGAAGACUAUAAACAAGGAUUCUCUCUUAGCAAAUUACAAGUAUUGCUUAUAUUAUCAAUGACUAAAUCACUCAUAUAUACAAUUGAAUACGUUUCUCCAAAAUUUUCUUGUUUUUUUGUUCUUCAUUUUAACACAGUUUCUGGCUACUAAUAUUAGAAAUAUAUAACACUUGCAGUCAGCAGGUUUGCCCGAGUGGUUAAGGGGGAAGACUUAAGUUCUUCUGCACAUAAGUGCGCGUGGGUUCGAACCCAACAGCCUGCAUACUGUUUUGGAUCUGAGCAGCGUUUUAAUUGGGCCACCGAUCAGCCCAUAUCUGUAAAGAAAAUAAUAUUGAGUUUGUCCAGCCAAAAUAUAUCUUGCAGAUACUUUGUUCCAAGAGACAGGACCUACACUGAGCUUAUCUUUCAGAGUAUCGUUGUUAUUUUUCCAAACAUCUCUGAUUUUAUUGUAAGUUAAAUUGUGUCAAUGAAACAAUAGAAAAACCUUAAUUUAACAAAAUUAAGACAUGCAGAAGAAACUUGCGGUUAAACCUAGCAAGUUUGGCUAAAAUACCAUCAGUAUGUCAAAAUCAAGUCUAUAAACAGCUAUAAACCUCUAAUUAUUUUUUUCAAGCAUAAAAUAAUUUAUGAGAAAAAUGCUUACCGAAAAAACAUGGAAAUAAAAGUAUUGUUCAUUUCCUUACAAAGAUGAGCUGUAAUGUUUGUUACUUUGUUGUUAUUUGCACCCAAACAAAAACAAUGCAUGGCACCAAAAAAAUGUUUGUUAAUUGACCACGUGAGGUGAUGAUAAGUGACAACCUUUGUUUUUCUGUAUCUCUUACAUUUUAAUUAACAGUCUGAGUUUUGUAUAGUCAGCGCCAUCCCAAACAAUUAGGUGGCUUAAAACAUUUGAAACAAUGUGGCCUUCAUAGAAAAACAUCGUCUCCUCUAAAACAUCGUCUCAAAGACAAAAUUAUGUGUGUCAAUCGACAGGGUCAAAGUUUUUUAAAAGUCACGCUGGGAAGAGUUUUUGUUUGUUUGUUAAAUAAUUUAAAUUUCUUCUUAAUGUCAUUUUGAUAGCUAUAAAUAUUAGAAAAUGGAAAAUCGUAAGAAGGAAUGAACAAAGUACUGGCGAUCAUGCAGUUUUGGUAUUAAUAUCAACUCAAAUAAAUGAAAAAGGCUUGAAAAAAAAAUUUAAAAUGUUGCCCUAAUAUUUUUAAAAAAAAUUAUGUGGUCUAAAGCUUGUGCUUUACCUGCCUUAAGGGAGGAACCGGCCUGUGUAUAGUAGCACGACCCUGAGACUUUUCAUACUUAUCUCGAUAUCAUCUACUCCAACUCGAUCGAUGUUGUUUAUGUUUGUUUACAAAAAUUUAAUGAUAUUAUUAUAAGUUACAGUCUUGGCUCUCAUGACUCUGACAGCAGGCUCUUGUAGCUAAAUAAUACACUUCCCGAAGUACCAUUCACACUUCUUCUUCUCCUAACAUUAAUUUUCCCACUUGAAAUUGGAAUAUUUGACGGUGUCCUAUUGAAAAAUGUUGAAUAGUUGACGCUGGAGCCUAAUUGCAUGCAGGUCCCGUGUUAAGGGCGAUAUGCCGUCUAGUGUUGAUAUAUAUAAGUACAAAUGAUGGUUUGGACACUAAAAUAUUAUUUCUUAUACUUGUAUUUACUUCCACUUCAGUUUAUGUGUAAAUUUAGUUUAGAAAUUUUAUCCAAACGUAAAUUAUUUUUAAGAUAUACGUUUUUUUAAAUAAGUUAUUUUUUAAUUUUUGCUCAUAAUGAAACUACUGAGAUGAACAUUUAAACUUAGUCUACUUUUUCAGGCGAAAUUCGAACUUGAGAUCUUUAAACUCACUUCAUCUGAAUGGUUGUGUUGAUAUCCUAAUAGAACAUACACAUUAUAGUGUUAUAUAGUUCUUUACUGUUCUCAUGAUAAUAACUUUUUUUUAAGCAACCUUCCUCUCCAAACAUAAGAUAAUUCUAGAGCGAGUCACAUGAUAUAUCUAGCUGCAUUUUGAUAUAAAAACAUAGUAUUUUCAGACUUGGGUCAACCAAGUAGAACCGAGAUAAUCAAACUCGAGUUUUGAGUAAAAUUAUUUUAUUUUCUAUUUUCCAAAUCCAAAAAUAAAUAAAUAAGCUAAAAACAUUUUGAAAAGGUAUUUCAACCCACAAAUCAAAUCCAUUAGAUAGAAGAACUCGAGCUGAAGGCAGCCAAAUACAUUUUGAAAAGUUAUUUGAAAUUUGAGCCGUCCAAAUACAUUUGGUUUUGUUGUGGUUUAGUUAUAUUGUAAAUUCAAACUGAAGCCAAAAUCUAUUUAAAUAAGCAUACUAAAGAUUCUUAGUCUUUACCUUUUACGAAUGGGCUAACUCUUUAGUGACGUUAAUCCUUAUCACUCGAUCUUCAUAUAUAUGAUAUUUCUCAUAAUAUUAAGCUAGGCCACCUAUUUCUUCACAUUCCAUGAAAUAACAUUAAUCGCUCGAGAAUUAAACUGUCAACUUUUAGAUAUAUGAGCUCCAGAUAUUUGUUAUUAAGGAGCUCAAAUAUAUUGUGUAUUCAAUUCGUCCACGCUCUUUGAAUAAUUCAAAUUCUGUACAAAAGCUAUAUAUAUAUUGAAUUUUUUUUUUCUGAAAAGAUAUUCUCCAUAUAAAGCUAAGUCAUAAUGACCAACGAAUAUAAGAAGGCAUAUAUUAAUUACUAAAACCAACUUGAUAUAUAUGGUCUUCGAUUUGAAAUCUUUCACGUGAUUUGAAUUUUAUAUGUUAAACGACAAACCGUAUUCUCGUGUUGGUAUUCAAAUGAGAUGCAAGUACUAACUAAGCGCGGUGCACUGCUGGUUUAUCAUAUCCCCCAUACGAUAAAUUAAUCUUAACUAAUUUAGAAGACAAAAUUACGUAACUACGUACAAAGUAUUUAUCAACUGGUUAAAUAUUGUUAUUUAGCGAACAGCCUUUUACAAGACUGUAUCCCGAAGACCGCAGUGAUUUGUCCAUUAAUCUUAAUUUAUUUUACUAUUUACAGAUGAAUAUCUGGACAGAUAUAUUUGGCAAUUGUAUUGACUUCAUAGAUAUUUGCCAAUUCUAUUGACUUCGUUGACCUCGAUGCAUGCAAGCUAAUUGUCUGCGGGUCUUUUGGGUUACAUUUUAUAAUUAUGCUAUUGAACUCUUAAUGGACCGGCUUGUUUUAAGCUUUAACUAUACGCAACUCGUGGUUUAUAUAUAUAAUAAUACAUCAUUUAGUAAUGGAGACGUAAGUUACUAACUUAAUUAUGGUUCACAUCAUUGGCACGUAGACAAAAUAUUACGGAACUGAAAAGUGAAAACAGCAAAUCAAUCUAUAUGUAAAAAAGUUACGUAUUCGACUAAUGCUGCAUAACGAAAAUACUCAAGUCUGGGAUAUAAUGAUCAGCACCAGCGGUUCAUAUUAUCAUGUGAUAUCAUAAAUGCCAAUAUGUCAUAAGAACAUCUAUAACGUAAAACUCUAUUUAAAAAAAAAAUGGAAUAAAAGAGAAAGUAGAGUAAAAUUGUGUCAACUCAAUUCUAUAUCUCAUUCUAUAAUACAAUAAUGAACAAACAAAAAAUAAAUUACUCUAUUUACGAAAUAAACUCUAUUACGGAUGUGAGAUAUAUAAUUGAGUUGAAAUAUUUCUUAUUUCAUAAUCCAUUUUACUCUAUUUUAGAGGAAAUAACGAAAUACGAUUGGAGAUGCCCUAAGACAUGGUUUUAUCAAUACACGUAUCCAUGAACACAUUUAUAUAUUGGACACGUAUGUGUAUACAUUUUAUGUAAAUGUGUGAAUAGACAUCUGUAUAGGGUAAAGUGAGCAACUAACAUGAAAAGAAAACAAUUUCUUACAAACUAGAAGAGCACCAAGAAAACUAUAAAAUCAUUUGUUUAUUUAGAAGAAACAUAUAUAAGUACACAUUUUGUUGCUUUCAAAAUAGUAGCAAGCCAAUUGUUUUUUUUUCAACAACAAGCCAAUUGGUUUAAAUAGAGAUUUAUUGACUUAUAAAUGUUGGUUUGUGCGUACCAUGUCUGUCGGCAGAAGGUUGCCCAAUUAAUUCCACCAAAAAUAUGUUUGUUCAAACUUAUAAAGGCGGAGACUGUGUAUAAUCAAGGGGGUGUAUUCAAUCUAAAAUUUAAGGUGAUUUGAUUUUUAAUUACGUUUUAGAUAAUUUUAAGGAAUUGUAGAGAAUAAAAUGGAUUUUGUUAAAUCACUCUAGAAUAUCAACUAAAACUAUGAGAUUUGAGUUUUAAUUUUUUUAAUUAAGAAACUCCACCUAAACACUCUAAAUCACCUAAAAACUUUAAAAUUCCAUAACUUAAAAUAUUUUCAAUAACAGUGGAUUUCAGAAUAUUUUAUAAAAUGUCAAGUUCAAUAACAGUGGAUUUUAAAUGAGUUUUUAAAAUUCACUUUUCAAUAACAGUGGAUUUGUCAUUUUAACAUAAAUCACCUAAAACUCUCAGUUGAAUACACCUUCUUAGCGUUCAGACUUAUCUUUAAAUGUUUAAGAAAUAUCAGACAACUGGAAAUAUUUAUGUGAUUAUAAAAAGAUUACCAUUUCUUUUCGGUUUGUUAUUUUCAACUAUAUUUUGUUUCACUAUGACAUAUGAUUUUUUUAUACUUGGCAAAAAAACAAUAACAACAACUAUAUAACUCCACUCGUCUGCAUAAUGUGAUUAAAACAUUAAUUAAAGAUAGGCGAAACAUAUAAAUAUGCUAAAAUCUUUUUUCUAGGGUUCAGUUUCAUUUAAUAUAAAAUUUACAGCGAUGAGACAAAUUUAGGUUUAUGUUUCGACUUAUCCAGUUUAUCUAAUAGUCCGAUAACAGAAAAUCUGCUAUCCAUAUCAUUGGUUAAAAAGUAUUUUAAAUUUGGAUCAAAUUGUAUAUGGUCUUUCAAAGAAAAGAAUCAUAUAUAGCACAAAGGCAUUCGUACCAACAUUGAUCGGGUAUACAUAAUAAAAAUUCCACUCGACAAGGAAAAAAACAAGAUUUGUCAAUAGAUCUCAAGUCUUAAACCAAUGACCAAAGGCUCCAAAAGCCAUUCAGGUCGGACCAGGAGUCCACGUGAAAUCCACGUCACAUGACCAAUGGUUACGAUUCUCUUUGAUAAGGUUCCUUUGCUGGUCAACAAAAGCUGUCUCUUUUAAAACUCGCACAUGUGUAUUUUUAGUAUUUGUUAAUUACUCACCAUUAUUCUACAAUAUUAAUACUAAUAUACCUGCUACUCUUAUCUUAGGACAGCCUAAACUGGCAAAUUAAAAAUUAUAACUUGAAGCUUGACGAAUUGGCGUCAUUUUACAGGAUCUUCUUGUCAUAUCUGGCUUUUAAAAACUAUUUGUUCCAAAAAUUACUAUUUUGGAGAAUGACUAAAACAGUUUAAAGUUUUUAUAAAACAGGCAAAUCUUAAAUAUUAUAUAGUGAGGUUUCUGAUCAAACUCUGUUUUAUUAUUCUUGGUCAAUCAUAUUUACAAAAGUUCACCAGAGGUUGUUUUAGUGAUAUUAUAUAUGCCUUACUUUCUAAUUUGUGUUGUUAUUUUUUUUCUUUUUUUUCAAAACAAUCAUAUUCGGGUAAUGGAAAAGCUUAAAGCAGUUUCCACCAAUCAAUAUAUGUCGUGUUGCUGAAAAAGACAUUUUCCCAACAAAUCAUUUUUUCUAAAAAAAUAAAAUAUAGCUUAAAGCAGUUUCCAUCAAAUCAUCUCUUAGGCCUGUCUGUUUUUUCCGCUAUGAUCCGCAAACGCAGCUUUUGCGGUUAGUAACGGUUGACAGCAUUUUGAAACAAUCAUAUAAACCGCUACAAAUCGCUCAAAACCGCUCAUAACCUCUUAAAAUCAAAAGCUAGUUCCAGCUAGUGUUUGCGAUUGCGGGCUGUUGCGGGUGAAAAAAUAAAUAUAAAAUUAUUUUCAAAAAUAUUUUAAAAUUUUAAAAUGGAAAUAUUAUAAAUAAAAAUAUAUACAUAUUUUAUAUAUUAAUUAAAAUUCACAAACAGUAUCAUAAUUUGCUUUAUAAAAACUUUAAACUAACUAUUUAUUAGAAUUUUUAAACACACAUAUAUAAAGAUAUACACAUAUAUAAAAAACAAAAUAAAAAUUUUAAAUUUUUUUUUAAUAUAAAUCUUCAAAAAAAUUUUUAUUAAAAUGAUAACUUUCAACUAAUUUGAUUUUUUUAUAAAUAAACCUAAUAUUUUUAUUAAUCAUAUUAUAUUGAUAAUUAUUAUAUUUUAGAGAAAAAGACAAAAAUAGCACUAAAUCAAGUUUUUGUUCUCAAACUAGCACUCAAGGUCAAAAGUCACAAAAAUACCACUUAAUGUUUUAUCAAAAGUCACAAACUUAGGGUUUAGAGUUAAAGGGUGGAGUUUAGGAUUUAGGGUUUAUGGUUUCGAGUUUAGGGUUUAGAGUUUAGAGUUUAGGGUUUAGGGUUUAGGGUUUAGAGUUUGGUUUAGGGUUUAGAGUUUAGGGUUUAGGGUUUAAAGUUUAGGGUUUAGGGUUAAGAGUUUAGGGUUUAGGGUUUAGAGUUGAGAAAUGAGGUUUUGGGAUAAGAUUUCAAAUUUUGAAAAAUAAAAAAAUUAAAAUUUUCAAAAGAUAAAAUGCUAUUUUGGUCAUUUUAGUUUUUGAGUGCUAAUUUUGUGAUAUAAACUUAGAAAGAUGUUAUUUUGGAGAUUUGCCCUAUAUUUUAUUACAAUAGUAUUUUUUUAUAUUUUUUUAAUAUUAUAAUAUGUUGAUAUGGGUAAUUUAUUAUUAAAUCCCUGCAAUAUUUUAUAAUCAACCAGUCACAAAUAUCCCGCAAACGCAACAAUUUUCAAAUAUUGUUCCAGUCAUACUAAACGCUUAAUAACGCUUGAAACCGCAACCAUCUGCAUCCACAAAAAACCGCAACCACCCGCAUCCGCAAACUCCCGCAACCGCAACCGCUGCGUUUAAACCAGUCGGACCCUUAGUUGAUAAAAGCGGUGUAAACUUGUUUAACAGGAAGAUAAAGAGUUAAUUAACUAUUAAAAUAUGCCAAAAUGGUCAAUUUAUUCAAAAUAUAUGCUAACUGUAAAAAAAAAAAAAAAUCCCAUCAAACCAUAUAACAGUUAGAAACUUGGAACUAAUUUUAAUAUAUAAGUUGCUGAUUUGAUCAAGAACUAAUAGAGUCCGAUUGGUAACAACUUUCGCUUUACGCUUUACGCUUUGAGGUUGUAGAGAAUUUAGCUGUCAAGACUUUGGCUGUUAGUUUAAGUUUUAUUAAAAUAAGAUUGGUAGUCAAAAUUAUAGAAGUUUGGAAUAAUAUUUAAAAUAUUUUAUUUAAUAAGUAAAAUUAUGAUACUAUUAAAAGUUUAAAUAUAGAUGAUUAUAAAGUAGUACAAUAUGGAUUUCAAAUGAACAAAAAAAAAUUCAAUGAUUAAUUUGUCAAUUUUAAAUUUUAAUAAAAUUGUUACAAACUUAGAUAAGUGAUUUAGUUACAAAAGAAGAAGAAAAUAAAACAUUUUUAGUGAAAAAAAUAAAAAAAGGAAAAAGAAGUUGCAAAAAUCAUGUAUUGUUGGCUUUAGAAAAAACAAUACAAAAAACUAGAGAGAAACUUAUAGAGUGAUUAAUUUUUAAAAAAACUUGAUUGGUAAAAAAAAAGCUUUAGAGGCUUUCUAAUCGCACGAAUCACUCAAAGUCCUAACAACAAUCGGAUCCAUAAUCACGUGAAUUAGGCUCGCAAUGACGAUUCUGAAAAUUUAGGUGCCCAGUGCGUUGAUUAAACAUAUCUCACGCUUUAUGUCAUAUUUUUAUUAUAUGUAAGAAGUCAGGAGGGAGCCACGCAUUAAUUAAUUUAAAUUAAAGGACCUUAAUUUAACACUAUAUUUAAUUAGUUUUGCUAAGGUGGCCUAAGUUAGGCCAUAGUUUUAGUUACCACCCCCACUGGAUUUAAUUAGUUAAGCCAACUUGAUUAUUCCCAACACAAAUAAGUAUAAUGUUAUUGAGAAACAUACACUUAUGUAGGUGUAUGUAUAUUUUCUUUUACCAAUGUUGUGCGAUGGGAGAUAAAAAUCCAAAAAGGACGGAUGAGAUUGAGUUGGGAUAUUACUCAACGUAGGAUAAAAUAAGCAAAAGACUUUUCAUUCUGAAAGAAACAUCUCACUCGUUGUCUUUAUCCCACUUGCAUUUUUGCAUGACCCAAUUCUCCAUUAGACGACAUUGUUGUCAAUUACACAAAACCCAUUUUUAACUAAUGCAUGUGGCAAUCUUGCAUCUUAAGUAAGUCGACCAUGAGGCUAUCUUACCAUUGAGACGGACCAACACUGUAUUGGUAGGCAAACGCGGAUUUUUGUUUUGUAUAUGUAUCUUGGUGGGAACGGGUUGAAACAUGAUUGAGUUGUGAUGAACCACUAAUCAAAUAGGUUUAAGUGUCUAUAUCGUUUUAACUCUCUAAGAUCUUUGUCUUCAACAGAAGAUAUAAUAAAAAUUGUCUUAAAAAUGGACAAGUAAUUACUUUUGUUUCAAACAAAAAUGGAUAAACAUUUGAAGAGGUAGGACCAAGAAAAGGGAGGGCAUUAGGUACUCUGCUCCGUACAAGAAUAUAGCUUUGGGUAAUACGAUGGAUUCAUCUCCCCUUCACAUACAAUCAUCCUCUCUUGAACUUCUUUGUCCC
rnacentral:lncRNA from 1 species